CUCACAUAUGUAUAAUACCGAAUCCAAAGAUCUAAGAUGAGAGAAUUUUGGGAUAGCCGCCACUCCAACUAGCGCCAUGUAUUAUCCAUACUAGAUCUGACCAACUGUCCAUCCUACCCUCCUCUACGUUCUUGACAACCCAUUUUUGUCUUAGUCAAGUCUUUUAGUGGCACAUUUUGACCUUCUUUUCCAUUACUUAGAAAAAGUGAGCUAUUAUUCAGAUACAAAAUACUAUCAUUAUCGCCUAGAAAAUUAGACAUUCAACCCGUAAUCACAAUGAUCCAAUUACAAAUGCUUUGAACCCCCUAGGUCUAGACUGGCUCUGGCCCCUGGUUUUAUCACUUGACCUUCACAUGAGUAAACUCGUUGAUAUAGAGGAUUACAGUAUCGAUUUCUUUAAAAGAAAAAAAACCUUAAUUUAUAAAAGUUCAAAAGAUUUUAAUUCAAUGUUUGUAAGUCAGAAAACAUAUUUCAUAAAACGGUUGCAAAUCACAUCGAAUAAGUUCCAUUGAUUGGUGUAUGGUUCUCAUAAGGGAAGUAACAGCAGCAUAAGCCAUAUAUCCAAAAAAAGGGACUAUCUCUCACUCUCAGUAUGAAAAUGGACAAAUUAAUUGCCACAAGUUAUGUAAUUUUUCAGUUUUUAAGAAAACAGAAAAUGCAAAGAUCUUACUUUUACUAACUAUUUCCAUCACAUUUCCAGCUAGGUCCACUAACAGGAUAAAGUUGAAAGAUGUGAGGUCACUAACCUUAACUUCAAACAAAAGGUCUUUCUUUUAGUUAGGUUCAUAAUCCAUGUAGUGCUGUCUACUCUCUAGUCUCUAUCAACCAGCUCAAGUUUAAGGGUGUGUUUGGUAUGGAGGCCUAGUUUUUCUCAACUGUUCCAGUGUGAAUGUUUUAGUAAUAAAGCUGGUGCCACUGGAUUUAGCCUUUGCGAGGUAGAUUGAGGACUCCCAAGAAAGGAAACACACGUUAUAUAUGGAGCCUGUUCUGGCCUAUACAGUCUGUAUGUACAUAAAAUUUGGAGUAUCUAAAGAACCACUGACAAAUGAAAACGAACAAAAACAAACACUCACACAUUUGGCUUCUGAUUUGACAUUUAUUUCAGAGAACUGGCUAGUCCUCAGAAUACCUUAACUAUUUGAAUUGAUAAAAUCUUACCUAAAAUAAUAAUUGAAAAAAGUAUUUGAAAAAAUUAUUUAUAUAAAAGAUAUUUAGUAGUAAUUUACAUCUAAAAAUUUAGAAAAAUAAAUAAAUACAAAGAAAGUUUAUUUAGAUUUUAGGUCUUUAAUUAAAAUUUUGCUUUAGGCCUUGAAUCAUGUUGAGCCGCCCCUGAUCAUAUUACUCACUCAGUCAAAAUUUAUGUGGUACUAUUUGAUUUGAUGUAACAUUUAAUAAGGAAAUGGAGACUUUUAAAAUAUGUGGUGUAAAACAAAUCUUUAAUCAUUUGUGUUACAUAAAUUGGGACAGAUGAACUAUCACACACAUCAUAAUUAAGUGAUUUAAUGAAGUCGAAAGAUAAAUAUUAAUGGAUCAUGGUUAAGUGAGAGGAGUUUUGUGCAAACACGUCUUUUAUCUAUCUAUUUGAUUUAAACAAGUAUAAGUUUAUCAUAUUAGAAAUAUGAUUUAGGACCUUAUAUUAGGCCCCAUGAUAAGAAUCUUAAUCUAGAAAAUAACUUUUAGUCAAUAAAAAGUAGCACUAGUUGCGUACAAGGAGCUACCACUUGAUGAACUUCCACAGAACCACAUCCCAUAAGUUCAAUAGUUUUCACACUAUAAGAACUAGAUGUUUUUUUCCGCGUGAAUCAAUGAAAAUUGUAUGUUAUAAAACAUGAUUUUUUCCAUUUUAAUUUUAUUAAACUAAUUCACUAAGAAAAUCCAUAACAAAACAUAAGUUCUCAUUGAAAUACUGGAAAUAGUCACUUGGAAAUUUAGGAGUUUUAGGAAAUUAUGCAUCAAAACUUAGGAAGAGGCGGCUCAUAUAGAAAUUUGUUGUUAAAUCAUAAUAUAUACUUUUACAUAUGAAUAUCUUUAUUGAUUUGGUUAAAAUUAUAAUUAAAAAAAUUACAAUACAAUAUAUAUAGAUUCACAUAAAUUUAAUACUGUAAGUUAAUUAUUAUUAUUAUUAUAUAUUAAUCUAAGUUCAAUACAAUAUAUAUAGAUUCACAUAAAUAGAACUUUUUGAAAAUCUUGAGUUUUUAAAUCAUCAACUUCAUAAUUAAUAUGGGUAAAAUGGUAAACUCACUAUUUCAAUAAUUAUUUUCUUAAUAGGUGUGUCAAUUCAAAAAUGGACAAGUAAUUAGGGAUAGAAAAAGUAUAUCGAAAUAAUAUAAUCAAAUAUUAUGCUAAAGAUAAUAAACAAAACUUUGAACAAUUAAUGUAUGUAUGUACAUAAAAUUUGGAGCAUCUAAAGAACCACUGACAAAUAGCUAUACGAAAGAUCAUAUACAAUUAAAUUACAAGCCAUUUGCAAUCAUCCUGCCACCUUAUGCAGAAAAAAUGAAAACGAACAAAACAAACACUCACACAUUUGGCUUCUGAUUUGACAUUUAUUUCAGAGAACUGGCUAGUCCUCAGAACACCUUAACUACUCGCUGCAAGAAAAAAAAGGCAACAAAAAAUAGGAAAAAUAAUAUAGUUAGAUGUCCAUAAUUAAGGAACAGGAGAACAUUAUAGACAAGAAUGAGCAUGCAGGUAUAAGAACUUACACAUUAUUGCGGCAAGAAGCAACUUCUUUCUCAAAGUCAACAUCAUCAUCUUCAUAUGUUGUCACACUCUUGGGAAUGCUAGCCACAAAAGAUGAAAAAUGAAAUGUUACACUUCCCAAAAUCAAGAAUGAACAUGCAAGUAUAACAACUUACACAAUAUUGGAAGGAUUCGAAUCAAUCACAAUGACAGCAUCAAGAACUUUGUUGAAUUGGUGCAAUUUGACUUACUAAAGCUAUUAUCCAGAUCAUUAUCGAGUUUACUAUGAUGAUGAGUUGUCAAAAUCACAACAGUGAAACCUUGUUGAAAUCACUCAACAUCAAAGGGAGCUUUGGAUACAAGCAGUUAUCAUCAGUGAUGAAGAAGAAAAGAACUGUUCAUGUAAAAUGCAAAGCUUCGCUUUGGAUGUAUUGAUCUAAUGAGUAUUUAUACAAGAAAUGUAAAACUAAUGCUCUGUAACAAACUAACUGAAAGGAAUCUUCUAACUAACUACCAGCUGUACUAUACAACACUAUUAACUACCAGCUGUACUAUACAACACUAUUAACUACCAGCUGUACUAUACAACACUAUUAACUACCAGCUGUACUAUACAACACUAUUAACUACCAGCUGUACUAUACAACACUAUUAACUACCAGCUGUACUAUACAACACUAUUAACUACCAGCUGUACUAUACAACACUAUUAACUACCAGCUGUACUAUACAACACUAUUAACUACCAGCUGUACUAUACAACACUAUUAACUACCAGCUGUACUAUACAACACUAUUAACUACCAGCUGUACUAUACAACACUAUUAACUACCAGCUGUACUAUACAACACUAUUAACUACCAGCUGUACUAUACAACACUAUUAACUACCAGCUGUACUAUACAACACUAUUAACUACCAGCUGUACUAUACAACACUAUUAACUACCAGCUGUACUAUACAACACUAUUAACUACCAGCUGUACUAUACAACACUAUUAACUACCAGCUGUACUAUACAACACUAUUAACUACCAGCUGUACUAUACAACACUAUUAACUACCAGCUGUACUAUACAACACUAUUAACUACCAGCUGUACUAUACAACACUAUUAACUACCAGCUGUACUAUACAACACUAUUAACUACCAGCUGUACUAUACAACACUAUUAACUACCAGCUGUACUAUACAACACUAUUAACUACCAGCUGUACUAUACAACACUAUUAACUACCAGCUGUACUAUACAACACUAUUAACUACCAGCUGUACUAUACAACACUAUUAACUACCAGCUGUACUAUACAACACUAUUAACUACCAGCUGUACUAUACAACACUAUUAACUACCAGCUGUACUAUACAACACUAUUAACUACCAGCUGUACUAUACAGGUUUUCAGUGUUCUAGUAGAUCUUCUAGGUUGAACAGAUACAUCAAUGAGAGGGGCAACAUGAUCUGGAGCAGUAGGUGGUUCAAGUAUACGAGAAACUGUGGAUGGUAAAGGGGAAUGAAUUAUAGGUUCAGAUGGCAAAUUGCAUGUGACAGGUGAUUCUCCUAGAUUAGUUUGAGAAAUGCAAGUGGUAGGACUGUCAGUAUGAUCAAAAAUGUCAACAAAAGGAACAGAAGGCAACACAGAGGAAGGAAUGGAAGGAGUUGAAUUUGUAUGAAAAGGAAAAAUGUGUUCAUAGAAAACAACAUCCCUAGAUACAUGUAUCCUCUUUGUGGACAGGUUAAGGACCUUAUACCCUUUAGUCUCAAAAGGAUAUCCAAUGAAAAUAUGAGGUGUAGUCCUAGGUUCAAAUUUUGUUCUAUGGGGUAUUGGAACAGUAGGGUAACAUAAGCACCCAAAGCUUCUCAUAUGAGAAUAAAAAGGCUUUUUGUUAUAUAAUGCUUCAUAAGGGGACUUAUUUUUCAACACAGUUGAGGGAAGUCUAUUGAUUAUGUAUGUGGCACACAAAAGACAGUCUCCCCAAUACUUUAUAGGGAGUUUAGAUUGGAAUAAAAGUGCUCUAGCAGUUUCAAGAAGGUGUUUGUGUUUUCUUUCCACCACACCAUUUUGUUGUGGUGUGUAUGGACAUGUUUUCUGGUGGAGGAUACCUUUGGUUUGAAAGAAAAGAGUUGUUUCUGAAUUGACAAACUCUAAGCCAUUGUCUGUUCUGACUGUCUUCACAGUGGUGUUAAACUGAUUUUCUAUCAUGGCAACAAAAACUUUUAAUGCUUGUAGAGCAUUGCUCUUGGAGCUUAACAAUGUGGUCCAUGUAGAUCUACUGAAAUCAUCUACUAUUGUUAUAAAGUACUUAAAAUGGUCAUGUGUAGGUGUAUGGUAUGGACCCCAUAAAUCUACAUGUAACAACUCAAAAAUGAAAGAAGUUAAAAAGGUUCUUGUUUUGAAAGGGAGUCUUUCUUGUCUUGCCAUAGGACACACUGAACACAUAAAAGGUUGUUGUGGUGAAAAACUAGCAGGGAUAGUGGAAAUGCAUUUCAUUUUGACAAAAGGAACAUGUCCCAAUCUAUUGUGCCACAGAACAUUUACAUCAUUUUUAGCAUGUGCAUGAUGAUCUGAAACUGUAUUAUGCAAAUGAGAAGGAGAAGCUGAAAAAGAAGGAACAUGAGACUUGGCAACAAAAUCUUUAUUUCUCAAAGUCCCUUUUUCAGGGUAAUGUGUACAUUUAUGAUUUUUCAAACAAGAAGUAUCAGCUGCAACAUGAGGUUUACAAGAAUUGCACAAAUUUAAAUUGCUAGAUGAGGUUGAGUCUUUCAGAAACAAUGAACUAGAUGGGUUGGAACUCUGGACACACUUGGGACAUAGAAAAUAUAGGCCAUCUUCUGCCCUACCAAUCACCAGAGGCCUCUUCAUUGAAGGGCCCUGCAUGUAACAAGAAACUUUGUUGAAACUGACAGUGCAAUUUGAAUGUGAAGUCAUGGUAUGAAUAGAGAUUAAGUUGUAUUUGAAAGAUGGAAUGAAGAAAACCUUUUUCAAACUAAUCAUGGGAGACAAUGUCACACUACCAAUUUGUGUUACCUUAACCUUAUAUCCAUUUGGCAAUACUACUAAUAUUGGAUAUGGGAGUGUGAUAAUAUUGUGCAGUAAGGAUAUGUUGAAAGUCAUGUGGUUUGAUGCUCCAGAAUCUAGUAUCCAUGAGUCAGACUUAUUUUUGAAACAUUCACAUGAUAGUUUCCCAAAAUCAAUAGAGGAGGUGCAAACUAUAGUACCUGCAAAGUCAACAGUGCCACCAGUGAAAUUUGAGUUGCCAUCAUCACCAUGCUCUCCCUGAAAAUGUUGAAGCAUGUCCUGUACUCGACCAUAUUGAUCUUUGGUAAGAUUCACACUGUACAUCUCCUCAUGAUUAGAGUUAUCUGCAGAUCUCUUCCCAUUCUCGGAAUCUUGUGCACAAUGGACAUUUGCGACUGCCCUAUGUCCAUUACCUUUGAAUCUAAUGCCCUGUGGAUUAUGUCCUCCUCGAACAUUGUUAAAUCUCUGAUUUGAGCCUUGGUAGUCAUUGUUUCUCUGAUUUGGAACUGGUUUGUUGGAAUUUGGAUUAGAAGAUUGGCGGUUGAAGGUUUGGUUUGAAUUGGAUGGAUAACCAUGAAGCCGAUAACACUUCUCAACAAGAUGACCAGUUCUCUUGCAAUAGUCACAGAAUUUGUCUUUGUACUGCAGAGAGGGUUUGGAAGUAUUUGUGGUAUAAUUUGUUCUGUAAUUGGAGGAUCUGCUGGUACCAACAUGUAACGCAGCAGACUCCAAGUUUGGGUGAUUGGCUGGCUUAAUUUCCCUCUGUUGUUCCUCCUGAACCAACAAGGAAAAAGCUUGCGCCAUAGAUGGCAAAGGAUUCAUCAUGAGUAUGCUACCUCGCAUUAUUGUAUAAACUUCAUUAAGUCCCAUAAGGAACUGAAUCAAACGACGAUCCUGCUCCACCUUGUGAACAAUUGCCUUGGCUCCACAAGUGCAAUCACAGGUGCAAUUAGCUUUGGCACUCAAAGUACUAAGCUCUUCCCACAACUUCUUCAAUUUGGUAUAAUAUCCAGUUAUAUCCAGUGAUCCUUGAGACGUAUCAUUGAUCUCUUUUUGGAUUUGAUACAGCUUCGCUCCAUUAGUUUGUUCAUACCUGUCCUCCAAUUCUUUCCAUAGCUCUGUUGAAUCCACAACAUACUCAACACUAUCAGCGAUUUCCUUCGAUAAGGAGUUAAGAAUCCAUGAUGUGACAAUGUCAUCACACCUUUCCCAUUGCCUGUAGGUUGGAUCAAUGCUUUUGGGUCGCCGACAUUCUCCAUUGAUGAAACCCAAUUUGUUCUUCACUGACAGUGAUCGUAGAACACUCCUCCUCCAUGAUCGAUAACCAAUCCCGGCAAACGGUACUGACACCAACAUAGCACCCGGAUUAUCAGAUGGGUGCAUAUAUAAGGGAUGGUUGGAAUCAAUUGAGGGAACGACUGAAUCACUUGACUGAGCAGAAUCACCUGGAAUGGCCAUUUCUCAGCAAGAAAAAAAAUCGAAGAACACCACAGAAGAAAACAGAGAAAAUUUGAUCUGAAAACGAAUACAAAUCGAACACCUCAGAAUCGAGUGUGCUCUGAUACCAUGUCAAAAUCACAACAGUGAAACCUUGUUGAAAUCACUCAACAUCAAAGGGAGCUUUGGAUACAAGCAGUUAUCAUCAGUGAUGAAGAAGAAAAGAACUGUUCAUGUAAAAUGCAAAGCUUAGCUUUGGAUGUAUUGAUCUAAUGAGUAUUUAUACAAGAAAUGUAAAACUAAUGCUCUGUAACAAACUAACUGAAAGGAAUCUUCUAACUAACUACCAGCUGUACUAUACAACACUAUUAACUACCAGCUGUACUAUACAACACUAUUAACUACCAGCUGUACUAUACAACACUAUUAACUACCAGCUGUACUAUACAACACUAUUAACUACCAGCUGUACUAUACAACACUAUUAACUACCAGCUGUACUAUACAACACUAUUAACUACCAGCUGUACUAUACAACACUAUUAACUACCAGCUGUACUAUACAACACUAUUAACUACCAGCUGUACUAUACAACACUAUUAACUACCAGCUGUACUAUACAACACUAUUAACUACCAGCUGUACUAUACAACACUAUUAACUACCAGCUGUACUAUACAACACUAUUAACUACCAGCUGUACUAUACAACACUAUUAACUACCAGCUGUACUAUACAACACUAUUAACUACCAGCUGUACUAUACAACACUAUUAACUACCAGCUGUACUAUACAACACUAUUAACUACCAGCUGUACUAUACAACACUAUUAACUACCAGCUGUACUAUACAACACUAUUAACUACCAGCUGUACUAUACAACACUAUUAACUACCAGCUGUACUAUACAACACUAUUAACUACCAGCUGUACUAUACAACACUAUUAACUACCAGCUGUACUAUACAUAUAUAUACAUACAUCAUACAUUAUAAUCUCAACAAAUAUUAUUGUAAUUUGUAAAUCAAGGAAGAAGAUGUCUUACAAAAGCUCACGAGUAUGGACCUCGAUAGAGCUUCCAUAGUUGUCUUGAAUGUCCUGUUGAAUUUGCUUGGCGGAAUUCCCAACAGAUUGUUGACAUUUACUUAUAUCAAUAAGAGCAAGUGUGGUUAUAUCUGCAAAAUCUCGAGGGAUUGAAUCCAAAGAAUAGCAAUCUUUAAGAAAAAGUCGUUCAAGGUACGGAAAGUGAUCACUACUAGCUCUCCAGUACUGAAUGUAUACGUCAUCCAGAGACAAGAACUUCAAGUGAGGAAACCCUUCCUCAACUACUUCCCACUCCUUGCCUUUGAAGGCAUUGCCUGAUAGUUUAAGGACCUCGAGUUUGGGUAAUUUACCAACAAUGCUCAAAUCCCUCCAUGCCAAAGAGAAUUCUCCCCUAAAAGUUAAACUCUUAAGGUUUUGUGGAAAAGCAUCCGGAGGAGGUAAGAGUAAAGUUGGAACAUCAGUUGGAGGUGCAGUUCCCCCAAAAUCAGUCUCUUUGUGCAAUGUUUCCGUCUGAAACCUCAGAGGAUCUUGCGGAGUAUAACCUGAAGGUGCAGUGUUUUUUAGAAAGCAAGCAUCAUAUGGAUGAUAAAAACCAAAUGCCAAUUUCUCGAGCUGAUACAAGUAGCGAAAAUCAUACAGGUCCUUGUGAUUGCGAAAGUCCUCUCGGACGCCAAAUACUUCCAACUUCUUUAAAUUGGGAAAUAGUCUAAAAAAAGACUCUGUACAAUACCGAGGAUUCAAUUGAUUGAGGCAUUGCAAACUUUUCAAAACCAAUCUGUUCUCUGUAGGCUCAUGACUCCGCAAGUAAUUCCAGCCAAUACACAGCGUCCUCAAUUGUGGCAUCGUCAAAAUUUCCGAUGGUAAUAUGAAAGGAUAACCUACUUUACAGGUAAAUGGAGAGUAAAGUUUAAAAGUUUGCAGAUAGCAUAGGCUUGAUAUCGAUAGAGGAAUGUCUAUUAUUGAUGAGGGAACAGCUUCUUUCGAUCUUAGAUACUGCAGUACGCAAGGAUAAAAACACAAACAUAGGUAUCUCAAAUGAAUUAGAGAAAGUACUCCACUGGGAAAGAUUGGGCAUAUAGUCAAACCAAGAUCUAGUACUCUUACUAGCUUGAAAGACAAUUCCAGUGUGACGCAUUUGAAUAAACGCAACAUGAUAAUAGAAUGAGCCUCACUGUUAUGACACCAAGCCAAUUCUUCCUCCUUAUAGAUACUGAUCCGACUUCGACUCUUAAAGGAACACUGCAUGGAUUGUGCACAUGAAUUUUGAUCACUCUUUCCUCUGAUAACAUUCACAAAAUUCAUGUUUCGAGCUUCCUUCAAACAGAGUUCACGGGUCACAUCAUGCAUUCCACAUCUCUCUAUUUCCCCAUCAAAACUCAAAUUGUGGAUAGAAAUUAGACUUCUAUCUACAAGUUCGUUUAUACAUGUUUCUGCCACCUCUUCUAUGCUUUUUCCCUCUUCUUCAUUCAAAAACCCCUCUACAGCCCAUAACUCAACAAGUUCACUUACAUAAAUCUGUUCAUCCUCUGCGAAAAUUGCAAAAUACAGAAAACAUGGUUUUAGGUGAGAAGGCAAGUGAUGGUAACUCAAAGCCAACACUCUCAUGCAUUUUGCUUCAAGAUCUGUGCUUACCACCGAACUUACAUUCUCCGCAACAUUUUGCCACUCAUCCAAUGUUUUACUGAUUUUGGAGAGAAGUCCAGCAAUCACAGUAAUUGCUAGAGGUAACCCUCCACAUUUUAAUGUCAAUUUGUUUCCCAAUAUUUUCAAAUUCAGGAGAAUAAGAACCUUCUUUUUCAAAGAUCUUUUGUGUAGUAAAUUCCAACUUUCGUCAAAAUUCAUGAGGCGCAUAUGAUGAGGAGGCUUACCUGAACUAGCAUAUUCAGCCACUUCCACAUUCCGAGUAGUCAGGAGUAUUCUGCUUCCAUUAUUACAGUCUGGGAAACAUUGUUUUAUAUCAUCCCAAGCUUCUGUAGUCCAUAUGUCAUCAAUGACUACCAAGUAUCUCCUGCCUUUCAGAUUCUUUUGCAGUCGGUCCGCUAGCUGAUCAUCAGGUUCAUUACUUAUCGAAGAAAGAAGGCCUAGGAUUACAUUUCUCACACAAUACUCUUGUGAAACAGUUGCUUUUGCACGAAUAUCAAAUCGAGACAUAAUGUAAGGAUCACUAUAGAGUUUUGUAGCCAAAGUUGUUUUCCCGAUACCUCCCAUCCCUACGAUUGAGACAACUUCUAGUUCCCUUCCUCCUCUAGCAAGUUGAUCCAGCAUCAUCUCAAAUUCAUUUUCACGGCCAACCAUUAUAUUCUCGGGCUGCUCAACAUCAUGUUCAGGUAAACUGACAAGUGAGCUAGUUUGUGGUUUUAGAUCUUUCAUGCUGUCCGAUGCUGCCAUCCACUGUUUCACGGUGGAAUCAAUGCAUUCUAGUGCUUGUUCCAAGACGAAAAAAAUCUCCCACAUAGCCCUGCUUCUUUCCUCCAAAUUCUGUGCUAAAAAAACAUUUCUUGAUUCCGAGUCAACCAUAUCUUCUGUUGUGUAUGCUACCUCUACGAUUUCAACUUCCAAGAUUGUUAACUCCUCAUGAUCGCCCGUUAUAUUGCAGGAAUUCUCCAGAAUAGUUCUUAAAGAUUCGAGCUUUUCAUAAAACGGUUGCAAAUCACAUCCAGUAAGUUCCAUUGAUUGAUGUAUGGUUCUCAUAAGGGAAGUAACAGCAGCAUAAGCCAUAUAUCCAAAAAAUAGAAAUAUCUCUCAGUAUGAAAAUGGACAAAUUGCCACAAGUCAUGUAAUUUUUCAGUUUUUAAGAAAACAGAAAAUGCAAACUUCUUUCUUUUACUAGGCUAUUUCCAUCACAUUUCCAGCUAGGUCCACCAACCUUAUCAUCAUGUAGACAAAAGCAGAGACCAAAGUUUAAAAAAAGAAAAAGAAAAAAAGACAGGAUUCUAACUGGAAAAAGUUGAAAAAAUUGUGACCAUUCAUUAUUAUACCUUACACUUAUCUAUUCAUGAAUAUAAGUAGGGAAAAGGGCCUCAUUUACCCUGAACUUUAUGAUUUGGAGCUGAUAUACCCUUCGUUUAAAAAAUGGCCCAUAUAUGCCCCUGCCGUUAUAGAAAUGGCUCAUAUAUGCCCUUUUACUUAACAGACCAAUAUUUAAUAAAUUAAAAAUUCAUUUUUUUAUGCUUUAAUUUGAGAAAAUGCCACGUGGCUCUUAAAAUACCCCACCCAAUAACUUUUCAGCAACCCGACCCAAUGGAAACAAGAAAACCCCAUCCACUUAAAUAAACCUAGCCCAUUUCAUUCUAUGGUCUCCACUCUCCACGCUUGACAUGAAAAAAAAUCAAAAACUUGUUAGGGUUUCAGUGAGCUCUAAACUGGUGUCAAUCAAUCUCAAUAAUGUUCAAAAUCUUAGGUAAGUUUCGAUUAUUUUCUUCCCUUACUUUUAAGGAUCUUUGGUGUUAAAAAUAUAGGAUAAUAUGUGAGAAAAGUGUAACUGAGUUUACCUAUGUGCUUUUUUCCCUUGACAUUCUGUCCAUGGAAGGUUUAUUUUCUUACUUUAAUACAUGAGUUUAUCUCUUUGUAUGCAGAGAUGGAAUCUUUGUUGGUCCCCAAAUAGUUAUUGUCUCUUUAGUAUUUUAAAAUUCAUUUUUCAAUUGGUUGGUGUUAAAUGCUAAGGUGGUCCCUUAUGUCUAAUUUAUUUGCUUGUUGCAGGUGUCAUUUUGAAGGAUGAUUAAAGAAGUGGAUAUUGUUUUCAACUAUGGGGGCAAUAGGGUAAUUUCCCCAAAGCUGGGAUACAAUAUAAAAUUUCAGCACACCUGGUAUUAUAAUACUUGUUUAGUUUGUUAUGAUGAUUUGUGUGAAGCUUUUACUUCCAAAUUUGGAUUUAAGGAAGUUCAACAAUUGUUGGUCACUGGUCCAUCUGGUACUUAUUAUGUAAUUGAAGAUAAUGAUGGAAUUAAGACUCUUCAAUACUUAUUUUCAGAAGAUUUCAAGGUAAUAGAUUUUUAUGUUGUAGAUGCUCAUGAAUUGAGAGUUUCUGCCACAAAUAUCAUAUAUCAUACUGAAUCAUAUUUUGUGGAUGUUGAAGCUGCUACUGAUUGUGAUUAUAGUGAUGUGGAGGAUGAUACUCUUUAUGAAAUGGGCAACAGUUGUGAAAUUGUUGAAUAUAAUGUUGAAGUGCUUCAACGUUAUGAACAUGAAAAAGAGAGAGUUGUGAGUGAUGGACUUGAAAAGUUUAAGGAAUUAGAAAUGGGUAUGACCUUUAAGACUAUUGAAGAACCUAGGCAGGUUGUUAGCUUUUAUGCUAUGGCUAACAAAAGAAGUUGAAAACAAAAAAAAGUGAUACAAAAAGAAUUAGGUAUGAGUGUUAUGAUGGUUGUCCCUUUUACUCUUCUCAUAUCUAAGGAUGGAAAAUCAGCAACAUUUAAGGUUAAAACAUUGAUGCCUAAGCAUACUUGUGGUGAUUCUUUUGUUAAUCCAUUGGAAACUUAUCAUACCUUGGCUGUUUAUUUUAAGGAUGAAGUUCUAAACAAUCCAAAAUACCCUAUCAAAGACAUGAGAGGAAUUCUUGAAAAAAAAUUCAAGUUGAAUGUCUUAAGAUCCAAACUAAAAAGAGCCAAAACAAUGGCUCUUGAUAAGUUGGAAGGCAGUUUCAAAGAUGACUACAAUAGGCUUGAAGCUUAUGGUCAAGAACUUAGACAAUCAAAACCAGGAUCUGAUGUGGUAAUUAAUAUCUCUAAAGAUGCACUUGAACAAGGCAUAAGAAGGUUUUUGAGAAUGUACAUUUGCUUCAAGGCUUUGAAGGAUGGAUGGAAAAGUUUGAGACCUAUAAUUGGUUUAGAUGGAACAUUUCUCAAAGGAAAAUGCAAGGGGCAACUAUUAGUAGUUGUUGGGCAAGACUCAAUGAAUCAUUUUUACCCAAUAGCUUGGGCAGUGGUGGAAAAGGAAAACACAGGAACAUGGACAUGGUUUAUUCAGUUGUUGAGGAUUUCGUUGGAGUUGAAAAAUGGUGAAAUUGUGACAUUUAUGUCUGAUAUGCAAAAGGUAGCUUUAAAUUUAUUUUUUUCUUAUUGCCUUUUCUUUAUCUUUUUUCUUACUGUCAUUUUUUUCUUUUCGAUUUUUAGGGCCUGUUCGAUGUUGUAGCUAAUGUUGUUCCAGAAGCACACCAUAGGCUUUGUGUGAGGCAUAUAGAAUCUAACUGGUGCAAGAAAUGGCGGAGUGGUGAAGAGAAAAAAUUGAUGUGGUGGUGUGCAUGGAGUACCUAUGAAGAAGAAUUCAAAGACACUUUGAAGGUGUUAGGAAAGGUGGAUGAAGAUUCAGCUAGUGAUCUUCUUCAUUUUCCUGUAAUUAAAUGGUGUAGGGCAUAUUUUGAUACUCAAUGUAAGAAUCUAAUGGUAGACAAUAACUUCACCGAGUCUUUUAACAGUUGGAUACUUGAAGCUAGAAAAAACCAAUCAUUAAAAUGUUGGAGGAAAUUAGAGUGAAGGUGAUGAAUAUGUUGGUGAAAAAUGAAAAAAUGGGCAGAAAAUGGCAAAAUGAUAUCAGUCCAACGGUUAUGAAAUUGUACAAUGACUAUCGAUUAAUGGCUACCAAUGGUACAGUUGAGUUCAAUGGAGAUUAUGGUUAUGAAGUGAAAGAUGGAGACACGGACACACAUACAGUGAAUUUGGAGUUGAAGAAAUGCAUUUGUAGAUUAUGGGACUUGGGUGGAAUACCGUGUCACCAUACCAUCAAGGCAAUUUUGCAUAAAAAAACUGAACCAUUGGAAGAGGUUCAUUACUGCUAUAAAAAGAGGCUUAUUUGUUAACAUACAAGCACAAGUUGCAACCAGUUAGGGGUUCUCAAUUCUGGAAAAUCGACCAUGCUCAAGCAAUGGAACCUCCGAAAAUGGUAAAACUUGUUGGCAGACCCAAGAUGAAAAGAAAUAAAGAAACUGAUGAGGCAAGUUUGAGAAAGGGGGCAUGGAAGCAGUCAAGAAAAGGAACUCUAAUGAGAUGCAACAAAUGUGGUGAUUUCAAUCACAAUGCUAAGGGAUGUUAUAAGGUAAUCUCUCUUAAUAUUUUCUUUUAGUUAAAAGGUGUUCAUUUUUGUCAAUCACAACAAUUUUUUUGGGUUGAAGGACCAUGAAGACGGUGAAAGUUAGCAUGAAAGAAAUAAGAAAGCAAGCAAUCAAAAGUCGAGGAGUUGAGCAAGAAAAAACUCUAUUGUAGAGUAUGAGACAGAAGCUUCACCCCAACAAUUUCAGACAAAACAGUCGACUGCCUAUGGUCCUAAGAUCGGGAAUGAUGAAGAUCCAGCAUUGCGACCAAUGGUAAUUUUUGAGACAGAAACAAGGAUGGAAAAGAGGUCUCGAAUAUUUGAAGGAAUAGGAAGCAGGAAGAUUGUUUUUUAAGGGGAUGCAAGAGGAAUCUCGACCCCUUCGGAUCUACCAUAUUCACCAAAGAAGACUACUUGAAAGGGCAAGAAAGCAGUCACAAUUGAUCAGUUACAAGCUGAAGUAAAGAAGAAAAGAGUGAAACAAAUGGCAAUGAAGGGCAAAUGGCCCGUGGAUACUAAUGAUGAUCUAGUUUAGAAGUCGUUGUGUGGUUGAUCAUUUUUUGACAUUAGGUGGUUAUUUUGGAUAGUAUUAUAUGAUGUAAAUCCAAACAAUUUCUUUUGUUGCUAACCAUAUAAUAGAUAUUUGUGGUUGGUUUAACCACCAGAAGGUUAAUCUUCUUUUGCUGGUAACUUGUGUUAAGAUAAUUUUAUAAAAAUUGAGAAUUAUAUUCUACUGCAUCUGGUGUAAUUAUUGUUGAUUGUAUUUUGUGUGAGAGAGUAAAUUUAUGUGCUUUGAUUGGUAGCGUUGUUUAAAUUACGACUAAAAUUAGCAUUGUUCACGAUCUUCUUUGAACUAGUAGAUAGCUCACAGAUGAUUCAACGUGGAAUGUCAAGGAGUCAUUGAUGAUUCUCUAUCAUUUUACCUCGAGCUUUUGAUUCUCUUUCAUUACUAAAUAAUACAAAAGUUGACAAAAUCACUACACAAGACCAAAUAAGGUGAAUCAAAAGUUGUCAUAAAUCAAUACAAUGAACCAAAAGUUAAUUACACAUAAGUCACAAAACUGCAAAUGAGAUGAAAAAGUUUAGUCGCAUAAUAUGGCCUUGGAAUCUAUCAUUUAAAUUCCCAGAAAAGAUAUGAUCCUACAAAGUACUACUAUAUUUCCAAAUUUUACAAACUUUUUGCCUCAGUGAGUGAAGAAAAGAACCCAACUAAGCAACUGAAUGUAAAAUAACUUCAAACUUUUCUCUCGAAUUUUAAGAUUUCAUAAACGCAAUGACUCCGUCCACAGUUCGUUCGCGAACACUCUGAAUAUGUGGUGUGACGGCCAAUAAAACUUCAGCAGACUCUUGAUUUUCACUUGUAGCUGCAAGAUGUAUUAGCAUGUAAUUAUCACUGACAGUAUCCCCUGCCUUUACCACACAACGAAAGAAUGAACUGCCGCAACUGCUAGCAGAGGACACAUAUUAUCAUCUCCUAUUUGAGCAUCAAAAUUAGCAUGGUGUUUUAGCAAAACCGUAAUAGCAUCUUCCUGGCUGCGGUCUACAACGCAUAUUAAUGGUGUUCCAACAUCAACAUCACUUCGCAAAUCAACGUCUACACCUAUCGGUAGAAACAAUUUAACCAAUUCAAUAUGCCCAUUUCCUGCAUCAUUAAAUGGACAAAAUAAAACACAUAAGAAUAUCACUUCAAGCAAAGAAUAUCAAGAACAAAUUUACCCUAUAACUCUAACACCAAAGGUCCUUAAAAGAAAAGGGAAGAAAGUAAUCGAAACUUACAUAAGAUUUUGAACAAUAUUGAGACUGAUUGACGCCAAUUUAGAGCUCACCGAAACCUACCAACAUUUUGAUUUUUUUUCUUGUUGAGCGUGGAGAGUGGAGACCAUAGAAUUAAAUGGGUUAAAGUUUAUUUAAGUGGGUGGGGUUUUCUUGUUUUCAAUUGGGUCGGGUUGGUGAAAAGUUAUUGGGUGGGGUAUUUUAAGAGCGAUGUGGCAUUUUCUCAAAUUAAAGCAUAAAAAAAUGAAAUUUAAUUUAUUAAAUAUUGGUCUGUUAAAUAAAAGGGCAUAUAUGGGCCAUUUCUAUAACGGCAGGGACAUAUAUGAGCCAUUUUUUAAACGGAGGGUAUAUCAGCUCCAAAUCAUAAAGUUGAGGGGUAAAUCAGGCCCUUUUCCCAUAUAAGUAUGUUUCUUACAUACAAGAGAUUGAUGAUUUUAAUUCCAUUGAAAGCUACUUAGUAGAAUUUUCCAAAUCAAAGAGAGAGAAAUAUUAAGAUCCAAGUAGGAAUUUCUCUAUUCCUAGUUCGAUUCAAUUAACCAAGCAUAAAUAUCUCUUAAUAUACAAGAGAAGUUUAGACUCUAAAAGUCAAAUCAACAAAAUAUUGAUGGGCUAACACAUGAAAAACUACUGAGAAAAUCGCCUAAUUCCUGUAAAUUGUCCCUUAAAUACCCAAAAUGGACUCUAAAAAUUGUUAGAAUGUACGUAUUGCUCCCCCAACUCCCUACUGAGGGUUUUGUAAAGAUUUCGAUUAGAAAUCGUCCAUAAGUCAUAUCACUAAUAUAUUAAUGGUUAACACACACGACAAACUGAGAAAAUUAUCUAAUUUCUUUAAAUUGGCCCCUAAAUGCCUAAAAUGGACUCUAAAAGUUGUGAGACUGUACAUACUGCUCCCCCGACUCCCUACAGAGGGUUUCGUAAAUGUGUAGCAAAGAAAUCGUCUGAAAGUCAUAUCACUGAAAUAUUAAUGGGCUAACACAUACAAAACACUGAGAAAGUCGCCUAAUUCCUGUAAAUUGGAAUUCUAAAAUUGUGAGACUAUACGUAUUGCUCCAUUAACUCUCUAUGGAGGGUUCCGUAAAGAUUUCACAAAGAAAUUAUUCGAAAGACUUAUCACCAAAAUAUUCAUGGGCUAAUACAGACGAAUUGAGAAGAUCACCUAUUUCCUAUAAAUUAGCCGUGGGAUACCUAAAAUGGACUCUAAAAAUUGUGAGACUAACUCCCUACGAAGGGUUCCAUAUAAGUUUCGCAAAAGAAAUCAUUCAGAAAUCAUAUCACCAAAAUAUUUAUGGAUUAACACACACGAAAAAUUGAAAAAAUCGCCUAAUUCUUUUAAAUUGGCCCCUUAAUCCCUUUACGAGAUUAAUUAGAGAUGCGCGAGCGCGCGCACACACACACAUACACACACAUAUAUAUAUAUAAAGAAGAGAAGCUAGUUGUAGGGUUUGAUUGCCAUAAAAUACUUAGACAAUGUGGGUGACGCACAUUGUGAAUCUCAUGAAUUGACUCGUGGAUCAUUGUGAUAUUGGCCCAUGAAACUUAGUCUUAGGGAAAGAUUGUUGGGUGUGAGAUUGAAUUUCCACAUUUGAGAAGCUAUAUAUAAGGUGUAGGAUCUCUUAAGGGAAAAUUUCAUGUAUGGAAAACGUAUUUAAUGAAAUAACGCUCUAUAGGUAUAGUUUAGUAAUUACAUUCAAUGGGUAGUUUAGUUUGCUAUGAAGCAUUAAUUUUGUAUAUAAUGUUUUUUUUAAAAAUAAUUUAUACAAUAUUUUUUUUAAUAAAUGGAUACAUGAGCGCUAAAUACAGUAACAAAAAAUUUACAUAAUCCCAUGAUUCAAGCUAAUCGUUCAAAAUCAAAUAUUUUUCCAAAAAAGAGUUCUAUAGCAAUAGAAACACCAUAACAGCUGGUUUCCUCAAACGACUGAAGCAUACGAUUAAUCAAUAUUCUUGUAUAUUCAACACCAGGUAAGCGUUUCUUUCAAGGAAACUUCAUGUUUUGAACGGCAAGAAAGUAUACAAUUGAUUUGUAUAGUAUAUAAUUGAAAUUUUGGAAAACGGAUUAUUUUUGUUUUGUUCAUUCUAAUGGUUCGCAAUAAUUUAAUUUUGUUUAUACAAUAUUAGAUAAAUUUUAUAUUAACAAUUCAAUUCUAAUUUUUUGUUCAAAAAAUUGAAUGACACAAUUUGUAUAUAUGAAGUGUAUAUGAUUCGACAACAAUGGUGUGCUUUAAUUUGCUAAUUUUUGUUGUUGUUGUUGUUGUAAUUUUACUGUAUAAAUAAGUUAUACGAUUUGUAUAUUGUUUAAUUGGUAAUAUUGUAUAUAUGUAAGUAAUUGUAUACAAUUAUUAUACCAUAAAUAAGUGUAAGUAGUUGUAUAAAAUUACUAUGACAAUUAUAUAUAUGAAUUGUAUAUGAUUCAAUAAAAAAGGUGUGCUUUAAUUUGAUAAUUUUUGGUGUAACCUAAUGUUGACACCCAUUUUUGGACCUCCACAAUAUAUAUUAAUUCUCGAGCUUCUUAGAUUUCAAAUGAUUUGGAGUUAUUAGUUUAUAAAAUUUAAAUAUUUUUUAAAAAGAUUUUUGAAGCGAUUUAGUCGGCUUUAUAAUAUUUUAGAUAAUAGAUGGAUUUUACAUAAUUACUUAUAUAAUCAACGUGUAUUAUUAGCAUUUGGAAAUCAUCUUGAAAUAUUUUGCAUUUUUUAAAAUUAACUAUGUUAUUAAUUUAGUUUAGUAUAAAUUAAAGUUAUGAUUCUGAGUUAUUUGAAUUAGUUAGUUUAUAAUUAAAUUGUUUAUUUUAUUUUUGUUAAGAUUAAGAAGCUUGUUAAUUAAUUAAUAACAAUUCAUCUUAUUUAGACUUUGGCCGAAUUCACCAAUUAAUCCCAAUUUGGCUAAGUUUUAACUCUGAAUGGUUAUAAUCGUAAUCCAUUUAGCCCUUCUUGAUAUUGCAAUUUUAACCAUUCUCUAACCUUACCUCUAGCUUAUUUAAAUAAUCACCAAGGGGCUUUUAUCCUUGAUUACAUUUUCAGCAACACCCAAGCCCAUUUUUCCAUCAGCGUACAAUUAUUUCCAGCCAAUAAACUCCAGCAGUCCAUACCCACCCUCCAAUUCCCAUUACAGCAUACAACAAUUCCCAGUGAUUCAAACAUACACGUAGAGCAGCACCAACCGACCCCAUCCCCUUUAUUUCGCUCAUCUCCUCGUCCGUUUCAAAGUAAUAUUCUGGUGUUUGGAAGCAUCUGUUCUGUGAUUGUUCGUUGUUAUUUUUCAUAGGAUUGAUGAUGUUUUUAACGUAUUAAAUGUACACUUAAUUGUUUCCAUCAGUUAGUCCUAAUAUGGGGUCAAGUUCCGGAGAGCCAUUAAAGUUUUAUUUUGUUGUAUUUCUUUUCUUGAGCCUGCUCCUCGAACAUCGUCGAAUCUAUGUUCUUUUCGCUUUAGCAUCUUGAAUAUUGAAAGUUCCAUUCACUUUAUUACUGCUAAUGUUCUCUGUUCUUCCUUUGAGAUGAGGAAAAAUCUUCCGUACAAAUUGUAUGUUGUUGUAGCUGCUGUUCGGUAGGCAUAAGUGGUUAUUUUCUUCUUGAUUAAAUUUCAUGGCCGUCCUAUUUUGCAUUGCGAAUGUGUAACUGUUUAUUUGGUUUUUAUUCCUCCUCAUUUUCAGCAUAUUUCCAUAAUUUUGGUUGAGUGUAUUGCUUAUUCUAACUUGAAGCUAAAUGUUUAUAAUAAUUUCGUUGGUUGUCUGCUUAAAUGUGGGCUGAAUAUCAAUACUAUUCUUUCUAAAUGUUAAGUUAUACUCGUUCUUUUUGGUUUUUUUUCUUCCGAGGAUUUGCUUUCGACUAUAGUUCUGUUUCUUUUGUGCGUGUGUUUGGAGGUCGGCAUUUGGUUUUAUGCCAGCCUAGUUUUACAUAUCUCUUUUCACUUUCAUGGAAACCUUUGAUGUUAUAGCUCUACUUGUCGGAUUAGGUUUAAAAAAAUGAAAUGCAUCUUUGUUCUUCUCAAAUUUGUUCCAUGUUUUCUUGGUUUUUUAAAAAAAAUGGUAUAGCUGAUUAAAAUAGCAUUAGUUUAGCUCGAGAUUUCCUUAAUACCGUGUUGCUAUUUAUUCUAUCUCGCAUCUUAUAACUCGAUAUUAUUUGUCUUGGGUUCUUUGUGGCUUUUAUUUCGAAAGUUUUGCCUUGCUAUCGUGUCAAUUUUCGUGCUUGUUGUUUGUAGCUGCUUGAGAAAAUAUGAAUGACCACUUUAUAAAAAAAAAAAAAAAAGGAGUUAGAAUCAACAAUGGGUUGCUGUUUGAAUAAUUGACCUUCAGCUUAUUUUGCUCAAAUGUUAAGUCACGUAUGUUCCCAAACACGGUUCGUAUACAAUGGUACACGUGAUGUGUAUACACAGAUUUCUUGAAGGAAAAUGGGGGGCAAAAGCCCAAGGAAAUUUCAGCAAGUCCAAGAUUUGGGCCUAAUUUGAUAUUCCUCUCCUUGCUCUUAUUUAUUUUGUUAUAUUUGACUAACGUUUUGAUUAUCUUAUGAUUUAAUCUAAUUAAAUUUUCCAAGAAUGGUCAUUUCAUUUUAUUUUUCGAAUUAAAGUAUAUAUAUUUUAUUACUUAGUUUUUAUUUUAAUAUUUGUCUUGUUGACAUUUUAUGAACUAUUUCCCUUUAGAAAAUUCUCCUUUAGUUCAUUCCCCCUUAAGAUAAAUAAAAUGAUAAAAAUAAUAGUAAUAAAUAAAUGAGUUCAUUUACUUAGCUAAAUUUUUUUUUAAAUAAGUUAAAAUAAAUGAGUUCUUUUACUUAGUUAAAAUUUCAAAAAUUAGUCAAAGUCGUUAUGAGCUCUUUUAUACUUAGUUAAAAUUUCAAAAGUUAGUCAAAGUCAUUUUUAGUCAAAUCGUCGGUCAACCGCAAGUUAGCGGACAUUUUGAGGGCCUAACACCUUCUCGGAAUGUACAUUGAACUCGAACCCUUUUUCAAUUGAUUUUAUCUGUUUGAGUAUUUUGAAAAUCUUAAGUUUUUUCUUGAGUUUUACUAAAAAAAUUAAGUGGCGACUCUAUUCUUUUGGAAAUCGAUUUCUCUUAAACUACAAGUUUAAUCGAUUUUUUCGAAAUCCUAGUCAUUUUUCUUUUAUAUAUAUUUUCGAGUAAAACACCUAACUGUAUAUAUAAUAAUGUAAGGUUUGUAUAUUGUUUAAUUCAUACUAUUGUAUAUAACUUACAAAAUAUACAAAUAUAUAUAUAUAAUACAAUUAUGAUUUAAGCAAAAAAUAUACAUAUACUUCAAGCAAUUUUGUAUAUAACUAACAAAAUAUACAAAUAUCUAAAUACAAUUGUGAUUUAAGCAGAAAAUAUACAUAUAUUUCAAACAAUUUUGUAUAUAACUAACAAAAUAUACAAAUAUCUACAUACAAUUGUGUUUUAAGCAAAUAUUUGAUGUUCUUGAUCUAAUGAAGGAGACACAACCUCCUCAGAAUCACUAUCUUUGGCUUUCCUCGUACUUCCUCCUUCAACAACUUUAAUGUCGCUUGCCUUAACAUUGUUGAUGACUUCUGGGAGUGCAAUUGGGUCAUUUUUUUUCUUGGAUCUCAAUUCUUCAAUAGAUUUUUCCUGUAGAAUUUGUUUAGAUUUUUCCAUAGACCCUGCAUUGACUCCAAAAUCUUGAGUUAAACCGAGUGAAAAUGAAGGUUGAUUAUUAAAAACUUUGACAUGCAAUGACGUACCUCUCGCAAUCCUCUUAGAUGGAGUCGAAUCAUCCAUUUUAUUUUUUGUAAAAAUGAUAUAUAAUAAGUAAUGAGGGAAUUUUGAGAAAAAAUUAUCCAAACACUAACAUGCACAAUACAUAUACAAUUGAAAAAUGAAAAAGAAAAAAAGAAAAGAGGUUCACCUACGAUUUAUGCGGUUACCUGCAAAAAGUAAAACACGAUUGGAGGGAGAAAGUGAAAUUCGAAUUUCAAAUUGAUUUUAGGAGAAAAACAGGAAAUGAGGAGAGGAGAGGAGAGGAGAGGAGAGGAGAGAUAAAUUUAAUUUUGUAUAAAAUCAUAUACAAAGACCGAUGAAGGCUUUGUUGAUUCGGUAUACAAAGUGGUGGUGGGUCUCAUUAUUAAUGGCGAAAAAACUGAAAUUGUAUUUACUAACAGUAAAUAAAUUAAAUUAUACCCUCAAUGACUAAUAGCCUAGUAAUAUUUGCCAACUCACUUAAUUUUUCCAUAAUGUGUGAGACUUUUUGAAAGAAAAAAAAAUUGUGCUAACUUGGUUAAAGUGAACAAUUAUCAUACUCUAUUUAGAAUAUCUUUGGGCUAAUUUAUCCGAACAAAAACAAAUAAGUCCCCAAUCUAAGACCAUUAGCCGUUACUUGAAGACAAGACAUUCAUCAUUUGAACUAUUGAAUUAUGGACACAAGUCAAAGAAUCUUCCAACUAUUCAAGAAGUGUAAUUAAUACUUAAUAAAUAUAAUGUCAUCCUCAAUAACUUCAAAUAAUAUCCAAUAAUCAAUAUUAAAUUUUGAUAUUAAUAGAAAUAGUUAAUGAACCCCAAGUUGUAUAAUUUGAUUGUUGGGAUAAAAGAUAAAAGUCAAUCAAAAAUUUAAUUUUUUUAAGAAAUAAUCUUUUAAUUGUGAUUCAAUAAUGUAAUAACACAAGCAAUUACAAUACAUAUAAAUUUGCCAUGUCAGCAUAUGGUGUUCAUGAGUGCGUGUAUGACAAUAGUAAAAGUAUCUAUUUGGUCUUUUAGAUAAAUUUCAGUAUCUAAAUUACAAUUUUUGUCAAAUUUGAGGGAUUAUCUAGAUAUUUAGAUAAAAUUAUUUAUAUAUAAUUAUCUCUAAAUAGGCUCAUAAGCCAGUAAAUGAUACUUUAUAAAUAACUUCAGUUGUAAGUGUUUCUCUUACAAAUUCAAAUUAAUCCAAUGACAAAACCUUUUUAUGAUUUGACUGAAGAGGUUUCUGUGUUGCUGGUAUAUCAAGAUGAGGAAUUGGUUUCUAGUAAAUCAAAUGGUUGAUUUACUAGAGUUCAAUGGAUACAAAGGUGAUAUAUCUAGAACUAAUUUCUAUAUGACUUUCAUUAUAUAGAGAGAGAAUUAAUUGAUACGAUGUUUAUUUAGAACUUUUCCUUUCCUUGUUAUCAUAACAUUAUUUCUAUGCUUGUGUAUGUUGUGUUACAAGUUAAUAAAUGAAUUUGUAUGAUUAUAAGGAAUUAAAUUAGAUUCUUCAUUUUUGUUUUUGUUGUAACCAUGUCACUGACUCGAUUAGCUUUCUCCAUAAGGAUUGUGUAAUUUUUCAAAGAGGUUCAAUAAUUUUAUGUUAAAGUAUGUGUUGUUCUAAUUUUAUCGGAUAUUUUUCCAUAAAGGAGAUAGUUUAAGUUUAUGUUAAUAUUAAUUAUUUCACACUUGACUUUUUUGUACAAAAAAUAAAAAGGAAACUUAUUCUUUGUCAAUCGGGCCUAGAGUGACAUCGUGUUGGAGGAGAAAAUAAUUAGGACCCUCAUAAAUAAUUUUGAAAUCAUAGAUCUUUGAUUUUUACAAAUCUAUAUAUUGUUUUAGAAAGAAAACACAUUCACUUGGAUGAUUGAGGCACAAAAUAAGAGUAAGAGAUUGAAGAGAAGAGCGAGAUAAAGACAUGAUAAGAGAUGAUUUGGCUAUCAUUAUUGUCUGAGAUGACUUUUUUUUGUCUUUUAUUCAAUGUAGACAAACAAAUAAAUAGGGACAUGUGAUUUUCAUGAUUUUUUUCUUCUAUUUUUUUUUUUUGUCUUUUAUUAGAUGUAGACAAGAAAAGAAAUUUUUUUCAUGUGACUUUUCCUCAUUUAUUUUUGUUUCAUUUUCAAUUACUUUGUUAGUAUUUAAUAUCGAUUGUUCCUUAUUCAAGCUAUGUUAAAUAUUUUUAACAUAAUUUUUUUGGUAACUCCUUUCUAAUAAUUUGUUAAAUCUUCUAAACUCUCGUUACUUAUUUAUGAAAUAAAAUUACCUUAAAACUUUUUACAUAAAUUUAUCUUAAAACUUUUUAUCCUAUUAUAUCUUGCUUUAAUAGUAUUUAAUCUAUAUAUAUAUUCAGUGUUUAUUUGUUUUCAACAAGUCAAAGAAUAAAUUAGAAUAUAUUCUUUAGAAUUAUAUUCCUAUAGAAUCUUCUCUAUUAUAUAUUCCUACAGUUAUUUACUGUAAAGUAAUAUUAUAUAUUAGUAAGAUUGCACACACCGUUUACGAUAUAAGUUGAUUAAUAUGUGUUAUUUCAUAAAUUAAAGUAUAGCAACAUAAUAUGAAAUUUCAUAAUUGAAUUUGAAUGAGAAAUUAAAUAAACAUAUCCAAAUGAUAAUUUUGUGUAUAAUAUUUUUUUCAUGUUCUUCACUAACUUUAAAGUGUAUGGAUAUAUACAGUUACGACAGCUACAACUCCUGCAGCAAUGUCAAUGCUCUCCAAAGAAAAGAAAAAAAUUGACAUGAUGAUAAUCGAUGUCAAUUCAUCAGAUUUACAUUGUUUUGAACUCUUGACACAAGCUGUAACCUUAAAUAUAAUCUCUCUUGGUAAGUAUUUAUAAUUCUAUUUUUCACUUCUUGUUAUAAAUAUUGGGUAAAAUCAGUUGUUUCAAUUAAUACACCACAAAAAUAUAAUUAGCUAUAAAAUUUAUCGUUAAUCUAUUGUCAAGAGACGACAUCUAUCCAUUGGUAAUCUUGUUUUUAGUUAUAGUUAUAUGAUAAAUGAUUGUUUCGUAACAAAGUUGUUGUCGUAACAGAUAAAAUUCAGUAAAUAUAUGUGUGAAAUUAACUAUUCUCAUAAUGUAUGAUAUAUUUUUAUUUUUAUUUUUAACUUCUCAAUAUAAUUAUGUAGUUGUAUGUGAUGAACUCAAUAGACUCUUAGCCAAGAACGCUUUGGAAAAUGGAGCUUAUUUUGCUUGAAAAAGCCAUUCAACAAGGAAAUUGUGAAAUACUUAUGGCAACUUGUAUUGAGAGAAAAAAUACAAAGGGAGAAAUCGAAAAAAGGUUUAGAAGCAAAUGGACGAAAUCAUAUGAAUGCUGAUGAAAUUUAUGAUAGUAAUAUUGUAAGAGAUGAACAAUUUGGAGAGAAGAAUAUGCAUGUUGAUACUGAGGAACAUAACAAUAAUAUCCAUAAGGCUGAAAAUGAUGGCGUAUCAACUGGUAAAUACAAGUUGAAGAGGAAGAGAGGGAGAAAAGGUAUAAAACAGAUUAAUGAAGGAGAAAGUCGUAGCAGUACUGUUAUUAAUAAGACUGGUACACGUAAAUGACUUGUAUCAUGCAUUUUAAACAUACAUAAAUGACAAUGAAUUUGAGAUAAUAAUUAUAUCCAUAGUCCAACUCUCCUUUGAGUUUUUCUUUCUUUCAGAAAUGUCGUGAAAACAAUUGGAGACCUCGAAAAGAGAGAAAGAAUAUUCAUCACGGAUCCUCAAGUGAUUCUCAACAAAGAAGUAGUUGUAACACAUCAUUAGAAAGAAAAAAAAGGAGCUGCAAAAAACUUGGAAAAAUGCCUCAUCUUCAAACAAAUAUACCAAAUCAAAUACAAAGAGUCUCAGAGUUCCCACCAGUUAAUACCAACAACAUUUUUGCUAUUUCAACUCAGCAGCAACUCCAUCACCCACAACUUCAGGCUCAACCUCACUGCCUAAACCCAUCUUUGUCAGCCCAAAAUGAUGUUGGUGGUCAACUACAACAACACAGUCUGUUAUUUGGAAUGCGGGUCCAAUUAUUGGAAGCACUCAAAAUGGUUAUGGCUUGGAUCUCAAUCCUACCCAUGUAACAACAUAUUCAGGUAGCACAAUGAUAACUAAUACAAAUGUUGGAAAUGUGACACUUAAUGGAUUGGGAGCUACAAAUGCUAAUUUUCAGCAAGAUAUUGGUGAACAAAACAUGUUUGAUCCAAGUUCUUGCUCUCGUAAUAUUUGUAUCUUAACUUAUCGAAUGCAUUUAUGUAUCUUCCUGUAUUGCAAAAGCUAUAAUUGGGAAAAUAUUUUCAUCUUUUGAUGAGAAAUUUCUUAACCUUUACUCAUUUCUUCGUUUCCUUAUUAUGUAUUGAAUGUUUAAGAUUGUAGUAUAUUAUUACAUACUUAAAUCUUGUUUAUGAAAUUUUUUAAUGAUUAAUGUUUGGAUUAUAAAUCUCUUGUUUUGCUUAUGUAUUGAAUGAUUUUUAUUUUUAAUGAAGUGAGUCAAAUUGUUUCUUUAAUUAUUCUUGUGUUUUAAUAUUUCUAAAAGGAGCGACUAAUCCUAGGACUUGCUCAGUUACUUUGAUUUGAGCUCGAGAGAGUGAAAAAAGAAUAAGAAGAGAGAUUGGAAAAGAUUAAUUAACAAAAAUUGUGGUACUAAUUUGGGUAUUAAUAAACAAAUCCUUACUUGAUCGCAUAUGUGUUGUUCUGUGUGAAAUUUGCCUCUGACUUAUAGUUGACUAAAUUAUAUUGCAUAUGUUCGUGUACAUUUUCUCACUUGGAAGAGUGGAUUUGGAUGUUAUUAACCAUCACCAUCGUUUAGGUAGAAAAAGAAAAUAACUAAUAGUUUAAUGUUUUAAUACAUAAAUGAUCAACUAAUAUGAGACGGAAAGAGUAGCGUAAAUGUAAGAUUCACUUCUCACCAAGAAUCCUCCUUUCUUAUUAUUUUCCUUUUAGAGGUUAAUAAUUAUUAUGUAUCCCUAGAAUAAUUUAUUGAAAUAGUAGAUUUGAAAGAAAGCAAUUAUUCUCUUCUUCCUAUGCGGGACUUUUAGAACAAAACUAAUUUGACAAAAACCACAAUUUAUUGAUUUUUAGGUGGAAUUAUAUCAAUAAGGAACUAUGCUUAUAAUAUUAAUCUAAGAUCAUUAGGGGUCGUUUGGUAGAGUGUAUGAGGUAAAAUAAUGCAUGCAUUAGGUGUGUGUAUUAGUAAUACCUUGUUUGGUACACUUUUUCAUGUCAUGUAUAACUAAUGCAAGCAUUAGUUAUACACUAUAUUGUGUAUUACUAAUACCAAGAAAUCCUAGAUAUUAGUAAUACAUAGCGUUUUAAUACUUGCAUUAGAUUAUACAAUUACAAAACUACCCUCAAAGCCUUUUAAAAAAACAUCUUCAUUUUCCAUGGUACUGUGUUUAGAAACCUUUCAUCUUCUAUGUGGCUGCUAACACUACAAGAAAAGUGUGAAUUACAUGAGGAUUUUCCUGGGGAUUAGUAUGAAAAUCCGUAGGAAACUUAUUUUUCUGCAAAUUUUCAUACUAAUCCCCAGGGAAAUCCCCAUGUAAUUCACAUUUUUCUUGUAGUGUAAACCUUUAAAAAAAAACAUCUCCGUUAUUUAUAAAUUUGAUUGUUGUAAUACUUUUUUGUAUUUCAAUUGCACUAAAAAAUAGGAUCUGUGGCUGCUAAAGCAUAUGCCCAGACUCCUAAUAUAUAUAAAGUGCAUAUACUGAUUUUAAUAGGGUACCGCUUUGCAGUUAGGAAUUAUCUCAGGUCUAUGCUGCCUGUAUCUCCCUUACAUUCCAUCAGUUUUUAUUUUUUAUUUUUGGACUCGUUUUAUCUCAAAAUAUAUAUAAAGCACUACUAAUGCAUGCAUUACUAACACACCCUAUUUUACAUUAUUCUUAUACACUCUGCCAAACGAUCCCUAUUGUUACUUGAACACAUGGAUUCAUCAUCUGAACAAUUGAAACAAUUAAUACUUGUGUGAACCUCUUGUUAUUUCGAGUGAUGUGUCAGAAUCUUUAGCCAACUAAGACUAGCGUUAAAUUUUUGGCAAGUCUCAAGAAGUGUAAUUAAUACUUAAUAAAAUAAUCUCAUCCUUGAGAUUCAAGAACUUGUUUGGUCUGAAUAGGUUUUAAUCAUUAAGAUCUAGAACAAAGUCUUAAUAUUAGUAAGAGGUAUUUUUGUGUGAAUAGUUUUCUUUGAGGUUCGAGAAAUGGAAUAGAUAUGGACUACAAGUUGAUAUUCGCCAUUAGGAAAUUCACACGAAAAGGAACGAGGAAUUCUCAAUGAAAAAAGCGCUCUCUAAAUCUGUUUAGUAUUUGCCAUGAGGUUCUUACCAUAAUUGAAUUUUCCUUUUAGGAAAAGGUAAACACAGUCUCCAUAUUUGUCUAGUUCUUUUUCUUGUACGAAAAAAAUUAUGACUCUAUAAAUAGAUGUUUAUUCAUUCUAGCUUGGUAGCAUUCAUAAUGUAGUCUUAGGGGGCUUUGAGAGUUUUGUGUAUUGUGUGAAGCUAGGGGAAGAAUGUGUGAGACACAAGUAUUACUUUAACACUUGUGUGAACCUCUUUGUAUUCCGAGUGAAUUGUGUGAGGUCAUUCUUCUCUAGAUUUUGAACUUUCUUUUAUAUAGUGAUUUUUUCAUCUCCUCUUGUGGAUGUAGACCGGUUGACCGAACCACGAUAAAUGUUUGUGUCUUUUUGUAUAUUUCUCGUUUGUCUUAUUACUCAUCGUCUUUCGAGGUUUGCUUUGCUAACUUUUGCAUGACACCUAAUUAUUUCAGUCCCAACAAGUGAUAUCAGAGUCAAGUUCAAUGGUUUAAUGAUCCAAUGGUUGAACCAGGUCAAAAAUAAGUGUUCAUCUUGACGGGUUUAGUUCUACCAUAACAUAUUUGAUAGUAAUGAAGAUUUUUGUUGGAGAAAUAUUUUCAAAGAUGUUUUUUGUGUUGAGAUAUAUAUAUAUAUAUAGAGAGAGAGAGAGAGAGAGAGAGAGAGAGAGAGAGAGAGAGAGGGAGAUAUUUUGCAGAGGAGAUGCAUAGUUAUUGAAGAUUAUGUGAAGAAGGUGGAACAAAUUUAUUUUGUCAGAAAUUUAGGCCAAUGGAGAUAUUUGUUUAGUAUUUGUCAUGAGUUUCUUACCAUAAUUGAGUUUUUUUCUUUUAGAAAAAGGAAAACACAAAGUUUCCAUAUUUGGCUAGUUCUUUUUCUUGUAGGAAAAUGUUUAUGACUCUAAAAUUAUAUGUGUAUUCCUUCUAGCCUAAUAGCAUUCACAAUGUAGUCCUAGGGGGCUUAGAGAGUUUUGUGUAUUGCGUGUAGCUAGGGGAGAAUGUGUGAGACACAAGUGUUACUUUAACACUUCCGUAAACCUCUUUGUUUUUACAUUGAAUUGUGUGGGGUUAUUCCUCUCUAUAUUUUGUACUUUCUUUUAUAUAGUGAAUUGCUCAUAUCCUCUUUUGGAUGUAGGUCGGUUGUUCAAACGACGUUAAAUAUUUGUGUCUUUUGGUAUAUUUUUUGUUUGUUUUAUUACUCACAGUCUUUCAAAGUUUGCUUUGCUAGCUUUUGCAUGAUACCUAAUUAUUUCAGUCCCAACAAAACCAAACGUGAAAGUUGUUUUCCAGCAGGCAACUUUUCUAGUAGCUCUACUCUCGACUUGGAUAAUAUAUCCAAAAAGGUACGCUUUCGGUCAUUCCACAUGCUGCCUAUGUAGAGACAUGUUUAUCUAAAGUGGAUUCUCUUUUUUGCAGUAGGUAUUGAACCUGUUAUGCCCAUUGACUAAGAAGCUAGGGGUGGACACAACAACUACAUGGACCUCUUCCUUUCAUUGGCCAUCACCAUUAGUCGUCUUUGUUAUCACAAUGACCACCACCAUUACCGUCAUCAAAUAUCUCUGUCAUCACAAUUACCAUUCUUAUCAACCACUACUAUAUAUCAAGCAUUUGCUAUAUUUAUGUUUUUUAUCGACAUAAACAAUGGGUUAACAUGAUAUAAUUUAUUAGUAGUUUUAUAUAUUUUUCCCAUAAUAAAGGAAACAAUCACUUAUACAUUCUUUGAGAUCAUUUAGUGUAAAAUCAGGAGUGGAAUCAUAACUAGGGUUAUAGCUUAGGAUCAAUUCACCUUCUUAAUUAAUGGGAUAAUUUACUUAGCUAAAUUUGAGUGAAAAGAAGAAGAAAUUAAUUAAUUUAAUUCGUUUACGUUCCAAUGGGGUGUGCAAUACCCAUAAAUUUGUCAUGUCGUUAUUAGGUGUUCAUGAGAUGCAUAUAUUUCAAGCAAAAGUGUCUAUCUGAUUACUAGACAAGUUUAGCCGUCCAAUUUACAAAUUCUGCCAAAUUUGAGGGACUAUCUAGAUAUUAUUAAGAAAAUCUAUCUUAUUUAAUAUAAUAUUUAAAAUAGAUAACUUUGUAAUUAGUGUUCGCUAGAUCUUCAUAUUUUCUCCAACCAUUAUAAAUUCUCAGUGCUCUCUCUAUAUAAAUUCAUCAGGAUAAAAAUAAACAAGACAAGAUAUCAUACAUAAAAAAUAUCCAAAAGAGUUUUCUUUAAAUAUGUGUAAUCUUUUUUAAAUAGCAUAUCCCUUAAGAAGCUAUGUAGUUUUAUCACAAUGUCCUUCUUUAAUUGUUUUUCUUUAAUUAAUAAAAAGGUGUGUUAUAUAUAUCUUCAAUUGAUGAUAAGCCCACUUAUAUACAAAUAAAGUAAUGCAAGUGAAACUCUGUAAAGAAUCCUAUGAAGGUUCUAGCAGAGAAAUUAUAUUUAAAAAGGAGGGUAAUAGCUAAUGUGAAACAAUUAGGGUUGUAAAAUAAAAAAUAAAUCAAAAUAAUAAUAAUUAGGGUUGCAAAGCAACACCCUCUAUUAUUGAAGUUGAAGUUGUAAUUCGUAGGAUUAUUAUAUAAUUGUAAUAAUGCCUAGCUUUUUGUAACAAGAAGAGAAGUGUAUCAUCAUUUGGAGAGUUGUUAGAACAAUUAUAGUUAACAUUUGAGUUAAAGUACUAAAAUUAAUCUCUUAAAUUAUAAAGGUGUAAUUUGAAAUCAUUCGUUGAAGUUAGUAUAGAUUGAUUGAUAAGGAGUUGUUUAUAGUCUUUUGAGCAAAGAUAUUUUCAUUGUAAGCCCUUUCUUACUUAAUUAGCACUCCUUCGUUACUUUUUACUUAGUAGGACAUACGAAUUGAGGUUAGCUUAUCGCAAUCUAGUAUAUACAUUCAAUUAUUAGAAAAUAAAAUAAUAAUAAUAAAAUUAUUAUUAAAUUUAAGUUUUACUGUCUGGAUUUAUCAUGACACAUAUAAUGUCCACUUGGGCAAAUUUAUUAUUUAAAACACAAUAAUAAUAAUAUAUUCAAUGUAAUUUCAUAAUUGACAUUUGAGAAGAAAAAAUAUAUAUGCUAACCCUUGAUUAAAAAAUUAAAAUUAACCAACCAAAACUAAAAUAAAUAUUUAUAUAAGGUUGUGUAGUGAGAACAAUUAGAUAUACUGGUUUUAAUUCAACUAUGCAUUAAAAAGAACAAUAAGUUGCUGUGGUGUAGUGGUUAUCACGUUAGUCUUACACACUAAAGGUCCCCAGUUCGAUCCUGGGCAGCAACAUAUAUGUAAAAAGUUUUACUUUUUUUUUGAUAUGUCGACGAAAACGUGUUUAUCCUUUUAUUUGUCGGCGGCAUGUCGACGAAAACGUGUUUCUCCUCUUUAUUGUUUUCACCAUGACCUCUUCACUACUAUAUUUACAUUACAUGCUUGUUCUAUCGGAAACAACUCUACCUUCACAAGGUAGGGUAAGACUGCAUAAACGUCACCCUCCCCAUAGUACGUAAAAAGAAUAUGAGACAGCUGCAGGAUCAUGGAAAGAUCAAAUUUUCUCUUUAUUUCAUUAUUGCAAUUACUCCAUGUCAAAAUCCAAAUACAUUCUAUAGGCAUUUCUAUCUGAAGAGUAAUAGCCCUCCACAAGAGUAUCCACUUGGAAACCGAGUUUCUUGUAUAGCUGCAUAGCUGCAGUCCUUGUAGGAUCUACAUGAAGCGAUAUCCGAUGAACGUUUCUUGUUCUGCAUUUCUGCACUGCUGCCUCCAGUAAUUUUUCUCCAUGGCCUUGUCCCCUGUAGUUCUCUUUCACUGAUGUAUUCCACAGGAACGAUGCAUCAGUAAACAAAACGAAAAAUUUUAAAUGACAAAAGAUAAGGAAUAUUGUAAAUGAAUCUCUUAACCCCUCGUUUUUCAACUUGUGUUGAUUCGCUCAGGCCAGAGAACAACAAGAGAGAGACAGGCAUAAACAUCACGAUGAAAAACUCAUAACCACAUAGAGAACGAAAGCAAUUCUUUUGAAAAAUAAACAUCACAUGAAAGAUGGUUCUCUCUUCUAUGUAAUGACGGACAAUGCUUCACUGACUUAUCGGGAAUAUUUACUAAUAAUAUCAAUUCACCUUCUGCCUUUCCCUAUUGCGAUUCAAUAUGAUGACGAUCAGAGAAAGAUAUAACUAAACUCUCCUGCAAAAUUCCUUUAAAACAACUGCUAGCUAUUUCAAGGUUCGUUGUUUCCGCAAUAGUAACAUAUCAGCUUUGCUCGGAGGGGAAAACUACAUAACACCACUCUAAUUUAGAAAUGCUGCACUUUCAUCCAAUCCAGCUACAGAGAAAAACGUUGAAAGAGCAGAAGCAAUUUCUCCUACCUCUCUAUUCAUAGAGAUCAAAACUUGUUCGGCAAAUGCAUUCAUGCAUAUUCUUCUUUAAAAGACAACUUUUUGUAGAUGAACUGCUCCCAAAUAAGUAUUUUUAUCUUUUGAAUGCUCAAGUUAUAGUCACAUUCACACUCUUGACUGCUCUUUUUCCUACGAAAACAUUAUCAAAGAGUCACAUUUGAGUUCCUCACGAUUAUAACCUCGUAUAUUAAAUCAAAUUGGUCCUAGUCACAUUCGGAAAUAGUCUCUCUACUUUCACAACUAGGGAUAAGACCGCGUACAGACUAACCUCUCCAAACCCCACUUGUCUACGCGGUCCUAGUCACACUCACAUUGGGAAAUUGUCUCUCUACUUUCACAGGUAGGGAUAAGACUGCGUACACACUACCCUCUCCAGACCCCACUUGUCUACACAGUCCUAGUCACACUCACAUUGGGAAAUAGUCUCUCUACUUUCACAGGUAGGGAUAAGACUGCGUACACACUACCCUCUCCAGACCUUACUUGUCUACGCAGUCCUAAUCACACUCACAUUGGGAAAUAGUCUCUCUACUUUCACAGGUAGGGAUGGAUAAGACUGCCUACACACUAUCCUCUCUCCAAACCCGACUUAUCUACACAGAGUAUGUUGUUGUUCCAAUAAACAAUAUUAGAUAUCAGCUUAGACUUCAAUCCAAGAAUACAACUACAAUAAUCAGAAUAAAUUCAAGAAUAAGACCAAUUAUUAAAAGGAAAAUCAAAGCAAAACAGAAAAUUAUGAAAAGGGUAUUUUUUGUUCAGACCUGCUAAUUUAGUGAUACAAGCAGAGAGUGAAGAAGGCCAAGAAUACAUAACAUAACCAGCAAUAUCUUCACCUAAUUGAGUGUAGAGUAACCCAGAAUUCUUCUUUUUCAGUUCCUCAUCAAAAGAUCGAGCUAAAGAUUCAUGUUUGGGGAAAAUCUUCUUCUCUAUUCUCACUAUAUCGUCAACUACCUUAACCCAAUUUGCUGAAUUUCUCUGCAAUUCAACUAUCUCUGCCAUUUCUUCGUUUUCAUAUUUCUCUGUUUUUGCUGCUGUAUUUAGGUUAACAAGAAUCUACUGGGGUCAUUAUUGGAAAGAAAAAUAGUUCCUCUGUUAUUUUAAAAGUUUUUACUUUAUUUUUUUUAACUAUAAAGUUCUUAUAUAUUUUUAACGUUUUAAUUAUUAGAAACUAUUAUGUACAUUGUUUUUAUUUUACAUGGUUUAUUAAUAUAUAUAGUAUAAAUUUGCAUUCAUGUAUUAAUUAACUUAUCAAUUAAUCAAUAGUAAAAAUUCUCUCUGAUUUUCUGAUUAUUUAUGGCCAGUUUUUUUUUGUAUGUGUGCGUCUCUAAGCUCGUAAGUGAAAGUAAAUCAAUUUUUUAAUUGUUAAUUUAUGCCCAACUUCUUUAUGUAUGUGUGCGUUUCUAAGCUCGUAAGUGAAAGUAAAUCGAGUCUCACGAUAUCAUCUGUCUUUGUCAUACUCGUCUGGUUGAACAAGGACUAAUACUAGUUGUUGAGCAAAAUUAAUUUAUAAAUACUCUUAACAAGGUGUGAUAUUAUUUGUUUUGGGUAAAGUCUUUGUAAGGCUUCACACUAUUAAGAGAUUCUACACUUUAUAUGUAAUUUUUCAAUCUUUUCAGCUAUCAAUGUGGGAUUUUAUUUACCCAACUAACAAUUUUGUUAUUUGUUCUUACAUUUUGGUGUUAGCUUUGGCCUUUGUGUACUCCAUCAUAGGUUGAGGAAAGGGAUCAUAUAUAAUUGGAAAAAUACAAAUCAGAAUGGUAUUUUUGUUAGUAAUCCAAGGGAUUGGUUUACUUUUGGACAUGUUAUUUUUUUGGUUCUACUUAAGGUUAGUAAGGUCAUUUCAAUAUUAUUUUCUUCCUACUUCAAUCAACAGCAACUUCUAUUUUUCCUUAUAUGACAACGCAAUUCAAUCUAGCUACGUUGUUAUGUUAACCAACCCCAAAAACAGGACACCAUAUCUAGAUUGAUAAGCUUAAGUAAGUUUCGAUAUGACUCAUUUAUACUUCAAUUAAUCUAAAGUAAAACUUAUCCAUAUGUAUGAUCCAGCCAAAUUAUUUUAUCAAUAUAAUCGAAAUAUUAAAAACAUAUUUAGUAAUUAUGGAUAUCAUAGGUAUAGAUAUGUAUAUAUAUUAUACUAAAAUAUACAAAACCUAUACAAUUAUGACUAUUUGUAAAUUAGAUUAAUCAAAGACAUUGAACUGUAAUUAUUCCAAUCUAUACUUUAAACCCUUUUCACUUCAAAGCACUAUCCCAAUUCUAAACAGUUUGAGACAUGGUAAAAAAAAAUAAUUGAUUUUUUUUUUUUUAAGAUGGGGUGUAGUUAGGUGGAAUUUUCUUGGUUUUGUUCAAAUAAGUCUGCCUUUUGAAGCAUAGGCAUACUUGUUUCAUCUUUAUAUAUAUAUAUAUAAUAAUGAUGUUCUGGAUAACUUUUACACCUUAACUUGAUUAAUUAUGUGAGAUAUCUGUCAUUUUUCAUAGCAAUAUUAUAUUUAACUAUAUUCGCCCAAACUAAAACAGGUAGAAAUAACAUUUGAAUCUGUCAAACUGCAAUAAUGAAUUAUAUAUGGUGGAAGAUUCUUUGGGGCCCAACUGGCCCCACAGCUAAUAUUUUAACGGACGUCCAUGAAAAGUUUUAACAAAAUCACGUCGAAAUUCUAGAUCACCAAAAAUUCAUGGACUAUAUAGCACACGAUAAUCAGCAAAAUGGGGGGGGGGGUUACUUGCUCAAGGGCUCGUCUGACCUUGAAAAUGGGCUGGUUUGCCCGUGGGGACCAAUUGGCUCUAUAACUAAGGUCUUAACGGACGUCCAUGAAAAGUUAUUGCAAAAAAUCACGUUGGAGUUCCAUAUCACCAAAAAUCCAUGGACUAUAGCACAUGAAAAUUGGCAAAAUAAAGGGUUUACCUACUCUGGGCUCGUUUGACCUUGAAAAUGGGUUGGUUUGCCCGUGGGAACCAGCCGGCUCCAUAGCUAAGGUUUUAACGGAAAACCAUGAAAUUUUUUGGCAAAAGUCACGUCGGAAUUGCGGAUCACCAAAAAUCCAUGGACUAUAGUACACGAAAAUCGGCAAAAUGGGGGGGUUUACCUACUCUGGGGAUUGUUUGACCUUGAAAAUUUCCCGAUUUGCCCGUGUGGACCAACUGGCACCACAGCUAAGGUUUUAAUGGACGACCAUGAAAUUUUUUGGCAAAAGUCACGUCGGAAUUGCGGAUCACCAAAAGUUCAUGGACUAUAGUACACGAAAAUUGACAAAAUAGGGGGUUUACCUACUCUGGGGAUCGUUUGACCUUGAAAAUUGUCCGGUUUGCCCGUGUGGACCAACUGGCUCUAUAGCUAAGGUCUUAACGGACGUAUACAGAAAAUUUUGGCAAAAAUCACGUCAAAAUUUCGGAUCACCAAAAAUGCAUGGUCUAUAACACACGAAAAUCGGUAAAAUGAGGGUUUACCUGCUCUGGGGAUCAUUUGACCUUGAAAAUGGGUCGGUUUACUCGUGGGGACCAACUGGCUCUAUGCUAAGGUCUUAACGGACGUCUAUGAAAUUUUUUAGCAAAAAUCACGUCGAAAUUUCGGAUCACCAAAAUCCUAUGGACUAUAGCACACAAAAAUCGGCAAAAUAGGGGGUUUACCUGCUCUAGGCUCGUUUGACCUUGAAAAUGGGCCGAUUUUCCCGUGGGGACCAACUGGCUCCAUAGCUAAGGACUUCACGGACGUCCUUGACAAAUUUUGGCAAAAAUCACGUCGGAAUUCCGUAUCACCAAAAAUUUACGGACCAUAGCACACGAAAAUAGGCAAAAUGGGGGGUUUACCUGCUCUGGGCUCAUUUGACCUUGAAAAUGGGCCGGUUUGCUCGUGGGGACCAACUGGCUGCAUAGCUAAGGUCUUAACGGAUGUCCAUGAAAAUUUUUGGUAAAAAUCACGUAGGAAUUCCGGAUCACAAAAAAUCCAUGGAUUAUAGCACAUGAAAAUCGGCAAAAUGGGGGGUUUUACCUGCUCUGGGGUUCAUUUAACCUUGAAAAUGGGCCAAUUUUCCCGUGGGGACCAACUGGCUCUAUAGGUAAGGCUUAAUGGACGUCCAUGAAUUUUUUUUGUAAAAAUCAUGUCAAAAUUCUGUAUCUCCAAAAAUCCAUGGACUAUAGCACACAAAAAUCAGCAAAAUGGGCGGUUUACCUGCUCUGGGAAUCGUUUGAACUUGAAAAUGGGCCGGUUUACCCAUGGGGAUCAACUGUCUUCAUAGCUAAGGUCUUAACGGACGUCUUUAAAAAUUUUGGCAAAAUUACGUCGAAAUUCCAGAUCAUCAAAAAUCCAUGGAUUAUAGCACAAGAAAAUGGGUAAAAUGGGUUGGUUUGCCCGUGGGGACCAACUGGCUCCAUAGCUAAGGUCUUAACGGACGUCCAUGAAAUUUUUUAGAAAAAAUCAUGUCGAAAUUCUGGAUCACCAAAAAUUGAUGGACUAGCACACAAAAAUUGGCAAAAUGGGGGGUUUACCUACUCUGGGGAUCGUUUGACCUUGUAACUGGGCCAAUUUUCCUGUGGGACCAACUGGCUCCAUAACUAAGGUCUUAACGGACGUCCAUGGAAAUUUUUGGAAAAAAUCACAUCAGAAUUCCGGAUCACCAAAAAUUCAUGGAUUAUAGCUCACGAAAAUUGGCAAAAUGGGGGGUUUACCUGCUCUUGGGCUCAUUUGACGUUGAAAAUGAGCCGGUUUGCUCGUGGGGACCAACUGGCUCCAUAGCUAAGGUCUUAACGGACGUCCAUAAAUUUUUUUGGCAAAAAUCACGUCGGAAUUCCGGAUCACAUUCAUGACUAUUUGUAAAUUAGAUUGAUCAAAGACAUUGAACUGUAAUUAUUCCAAUCUAUUCUUUAAACCUUUUUCACUUCAAAGUACUAUCCCAAUUCUAAACAGGUUGAGACCUAGUAAAAAAAAUGAUUUUUUUUAAAGAUGGGGUGUAGUUAGGUGGAAUUUUCUUGGUUUUGUUCAAAUAAGUCUGCCUUUUGAAGCAUCGGCUAUUCUUGUUUCAUCUUUAUUUUAUUUUUCAUAAUAAUGGUGUUCUGGAUAACUUUCACACCUUGACUUGAUUAAUUAUGUGAGAUAUUUAUCUGAUCAUUUUUCAUCAGCAAUAUUUAACUAUAUUCGCCUAAACUAAAACAGGUAGAAAUAACAUUUGAAUCUGUCAAACUUCAAUAAUGAAUUAUAUAUGGUAGAAGAUUCUUUGGGGCCAUUAUGCAAUGAUAGUGGAACAUGAGAAUAUUUUUAUGAUUGGUAAAAAUAUCAUGGGAAUGGCGAAAAACUAGCUUUGAUAAGAAGAAUAUGAUGCUUUAUAACAUUAUCAAGGGAACAAAAGUCAUUUUUAUAUAUUUGAAGAAAAGAAAGUUUUCACAUUACAAUAAUUGGGAUGCCUAUAAAUGUGUGGUUCAAAAUGAUAGUGACAAGCCACAUAUUAUAUUGAAGCAUUAAUUAAUCAUAGUAAAGAAAGUUCAAUGUUAUUAUUAGGGGCAAUUUGUGCAAAGUAGAUAUGACCUAAGUUGCUUGAACGCAAAGGUAAUGUUAUAAUGUUUGUGAAAAAUUGAUAGAUCAUUAAAUCAUUAAACCUAUUACCUAUAUAAGAUUUAGUGCUAAUUACAAUCAUUUCUAUGUAGUGUAAGUGAUGUUGGAUUAGGUGGAUAUCAACUUAUCAAAGUGGACACCAAAUUUUUUAAAUUGCUUUCUCUAGUGUUACACUAACUUUAAUAAGUGGAAAUCCUUAGACAAUUGUUGAAGAUAUCUAUCAUAUUUGAUCAAAUAAAACAUAAGUUAUCAAUCAUAGAAUCAGAUAUAUACCUUUAAAUUCACGGGAGCGUUUGACUAUGUUUCAUUGUGAAAUUUGAUUUUUCUUUUCAAGUAAAAAAAGAUAAAUUGAAAUUAGAUAUUGUUAUCAACUUGUAUACCACUAGUUCGAAAGGCAUAAUUUCUUAAACUGACAUUCAAACUUAGCCUCCACUUACAAGUAAUUACUUCAACUUUUUCAUUAUGUAUGCAUAUUUAGACACCUUAUAAACUCGACUCAUUUCCACUAUACCAGCUAAACUCUCCAACAUAUGUACAAAAUAAUCAUCUAGUCACCUUCAAAAUUUAUUCAUUACAUCAGCAUCGAAUGUAAUGAGAUACAGAGACGAGUUGAGUAUUUAGUAGACCGUUGAAACCAAGUUGAGGUGUCCAUACCUAUACAACAAUUAUCACAGGUGACAUGCUUUCAAAUAAUUUUGAAGUAUUAAAAAUAGAUGAUUUAUUAAAAUAAGAUAUUUCUCACCAUAAGCAAUUUUCAAUUCUUUCGCAUCAAACGCACCCAUAUUUAGAAUGUUCUAUACUAUCACUCUCCAUAGACGGCAGCCAUCAUGUCAAUCACCACCCACCAGCACUUGCUGUUGUUAACCUUGCCAAAUAGAUAAUGACAAGUUGGCAUAUGAGAUAGGUGGUCUACGCCUAUCAACAUGAGUUGUGGUGCAAUGGUGGAAUUGCUCAAUCCUUAAUUAGAAAUUUCAGGUUUGAGUCUUGGGUAUGAAGAAAAUUCUAUUGGAAGCGUCACUCUCAAAUGAGUCCUGUGCUGUACAAUUCAGAUUUAAUUAAGGCUUUAAUGCAGACUCCGAACAGUGAGCGUGAGAAAAAAAGAGAGGUGGCCUAUGCCUAUUUCUCUUUGAGAUGUUGAUGCCUUGAUUUUGAAUGUCUUGUUUUUCAAUCCUCGUGCUUAUAUCUUUGAAUAUUCAUUACUUUCUCUAGAUGUGAAAACUACUCUUUCCGUUUCAAUUUGAAUAUUCAGAUUAUAAAGAAUAUUUUUUUUAUAUUUUACGUAACUUUAAUCGAAUACCAUAUAAUUUAAAAGUUCGUUUUACUUUUUUAAAUCAAAAUCAAAUAAAUAAAUUAAAACGAAAGGAGUGAUGGCUGAGAUGUCCUGUAAAAUGGUAUUGGUCUCUUUAGUGGGAUUUUGUUAUUUUGAUUUUAAAUUGACACAAGAAGCUAAACAAGCUUUGUCUUCUUAAUGAUUGGAUUUGAUUCAUCUUUUCAAUUUCAAUUGAGUCUGUCUCAAAAUUCAUAAUGUUAACUAUAUAAAUCCAGGUGAUCAUAUAUUACAUUGAUCUAAGAUGUAUAUUCAUAUCAUAUAUCGCGUUACUAAAUAUAAUUACAUUGUAUGAACACGCGAAGAAGAUGAUCAGAACAAGAGAAGACAUGUUACUAAACAACAACAUAAGAAAAAACAAAUUCUGUUAAGUGAUUGAUCCGCGUGUGAUAGUUGUCUUCUUAACCUUGGACUAUUGCUUCCUGCUAGAUUAUAUGAACUUGAAUAUGUAUACAAAUUAGUAUUCAAUGAGUUCCCAAACAUUCGCGCAUAAAAAAUUUCCCCUGUUGUCGUUCCACCAGGACUUAGCAUAUGUUCUGUAUUUGUAUAAUUUCGAUGAUGAUCAUGAGAUUGUUGGUAUAAUGGAGGCAUAUUAUUAUUGGGUAUUACUCCGUGACUCCUACAUCUCGGAGUAGGAGGUCUUUGUGGUAUGACUAUACCAAGAUUCAGGGCCUUGCCUGCUGUUUUUGUAGCUUGACCGCGACCAUAGAGUGGAAUCAAUGUUUUUUGUGAGACUUCAGCUUUGCAAACAGGGCAUUUUGGCUGUUGAUUAUCGAUGUUCUCUGAUGAAAUGGUCUUAAUAUGUAUCCAUUUGUAGAUGCAAGGCCAACAAUAGAGGUGACCACAUAAUGUAACAACAGGAUCAUGUACAACAUCCAGGCAAAUGUUGCACUCGAAACCUCCAGGUGAAUUUUCUUCAAGUUUAUCAAGAUCAAUUGUCUUACAUUUUUCAAAGGAAAUAUCGCGUUGAUCAAAAAUAGUUUCUGGUAUUUGGUCUUGAAAAAUUUGUUCUAAGGCCAUAUUUGCUUCUUGGUAUUGAUUUAUUUUGGUAAUGGCAAGAUGAAUGGUUAGAAUUCAGGUUUUUAAUACAAUUAGAAGUGAGUAUUUAUAAGGACAAGAAUAGUAGUUUGCAAACAAUGAUUCUUAAGGUUGUCACUUGUCAACAUCACAUCAUGUUAAAGGGGCAUGGCCAAAAAGAAAAGGCCCUACACAUUAUUAAACAACACUAUAUCAUAUUACUCAACUCAGUUUUGAUUUAUGGGUACUGUUUGAUUUGAUAUAACAUUUAAUAAGAAAAUGAAAACUUUUAAAAUAUGUACUGUAUUAAAGAUAAAAAAUAAAUUUUAAAUUUUUAGAUCCUAGAAAUGAUAUUCUUUUUAUAUUAAGACUACAACAAAUGUCUUACAUAAAUUAAGACAGGUGAACUAUCAAACACAUCAUAAUUAAGUGAUUUAAUGAAGUCAAAAAUAAAUAUUAAUGGAUCAUGGUUAAGUGAGAGGAGUUUUGUGCAAACACGUCUUUUAUCUAUCUAUUUGAUUUAAACAAGCAUAAGUUUUAUCAUAUUAGAAAUAUGAUUAGGACCUUAUAUUAGGCCCCAUGAUAAGAAUCUUAAUCUAGAAAAUAACUUUUAGUCAAUAAAAAGUAGCACUAGUUGCGUACAAGGAGCUACCACUUGAUGACCUUCCACACAGCCACAUCCCAUAAGUUCAAUAGUUUUCACACUAUAAGAACUAGAUGUUUUUUUCCGAGUGAAUCAAUAAAAAUUUUAUGUUAUAAAACAUGAUUUUUUUCAUUUUGAUUUUAUUAAACUAAUUCACUAAGAAAACCCAUAACGAAACAUAAGUUCUCAUUGAAAUACUGGAAAUAGUCACUUGGAAAUUUAUGAGUUUUAGGAAAUUAUGCAUCAAAACUUAGAAAGACGCGGCUCAUAUAGAAAUUUGUUGUUAAAUCAUAAUAUAUACUUUUACAUCUGAAUAUCUUUAUUGAUUUGGUUAAAAUUAUAAUUAAAAAAAUUACAAUACAAUAUAUAUAGAUUCACAUAAAUUUAAUACUGUAAGUUCAAUUAUUAUUAUGAUAUAUUAAUCUAAAAUUAUUAUAGAAGCUUCUAAACUCUAAAUUCAGAUCCAACUAAGGAGUGAAUAUACAUAGUGGGGGUCUGGGGGAUGGGAGAAAACAUAUGGACGGUGUGACAAAUAAAUAAAAGAAAUACUCCGUCCAUUCCAUUUGACUUAGUAUUGUUUGACUUAAUACGAUGUAUAAGAGAAAAAAAAGAUUUUAGAAAAUUAUAGGCUAAAACAAUUUUUAUAUAUUUAUAUAAUUGUAAAUCAUUUCAUUAAUUAAGGGUAGAUGGAGAAUUUUAAGUUUAAUUAUUUUCAAUUACAAUAAAAUGACAUUUUUAAAGACGGAUUAUGAGAAUAGAGUGCCACGUAAUAUAAAACGAGAAAAUACUACUCCCUCCUUCCCAUUUUAUAUGUUACCUUUUUACUUUACAUUUACAUUAAGAAAUAAUGUAACUUUACCCUUCUACCCUUAUUUAAUGUUUUCUUAAGUUAACUUUAUAACUCCCUCCGUCCCAUUUUAUAUGUCAUCUCUUUCUAUAAAUAGUUGGACCACAAUACUUGUCAUUUUAUAAAAUUUAUGUAUAAAUUACCAUAUUUUACCUAUUAUAUCCUUGAUAGAGUAGUUAAUUAAUCUUGAAAAUAUAUUCAUCAUUUAUUAUAAAUUGACUUAAGAAAAUAUUAAAUAAGAAUAGAAAGAUAAAAUUACAUCAUUCUUCAACAAGUGGUAUCAGAGCCAGGUUAAUAAGAGCGAGGUAGUAACUCAAAAGAGAUCCUACAAGCUACCGUCGGAGGCUACAAAUCGCGAGGCACUAAUUAAUGAUGGAUUUUGCAAGCACUCUCAAUAGCGUUGAGANNNNNNNNNNNNNNNNNNNNNNNNNNNNNNNNNNNNNNNNNNNNNNNNNNNNNNNNNNNNNNNNNNNNNNNNNNNNNNNNNNNNNNNNNNNNNNNNNNNNNNNNNNNNNNNNNNNNNNNNNNNNNNNNNNNNNNNNNNNNNNNNNNNNNNNNNNNNNNNNNNNNNNNNNNNNNNNNNNNNNNNNNNNNNNNNNNNNNNNNNNNNNNNNNNNNNNNNNNNNNNNNNNNNNNNNNNNNNNNNNNNNNNNNNNNNNNNNNNNNNNNNNNNNNNNNNNNNNNNNNNNNNNNNNNNNNNNNNNNNNNNNNNNNNNNNNNNNNNNNNNNNNNNNNNNNNNNNNNNNNNNNNNNNNNNNNNNNNNNNNNNNNNNNNNNNNNNNNNNNNNNNNNNNNNNNNNNNNNNNNNNNNNNNNNNNNNNNNNNNNNNNNNNNNNNNNNNNNNNNNNNNNNNNNNNNNNNNNNNNNNNNNNNNNNNNNNNNNNNNNNNNNNNNNNNNNNNNNNNNNNNNNNNNNNNNNNNNNNNNNNNNNNNNNNNNNNNNNNNNNNNNNNNNNNNNNNNNNNNNNNNNNNNNNNNNNNNNNNNNNNNNNNNNNNNNNNNNNNNNNNNNNNNNNNNNNNNNNNNNNNNNNNNNNNNNNNNNNNNNNNNNNNNNNNNNNNNNNNNNNNNNNNNNNNNNNNNNNNNNNNNNNNNNNNNNNNNNNNNNNNNNNNNNNNNNNNNNNNNNNNNNNNNNNNNNNNNNNNNNNNNNNNNNNNNNNNNNNNNNNNNNNNNNNNNNNNNNNNNNNNNNNNNNNNNNNNNNNNNNNNNNNNNNNNNNNNNNNNNNNNNNNNNNNNNNNNNNNNNNNNNNNNNNNNNNNNNNNNNNNNNNNNNNNNNNNNNNNNNNNNNNNNNNNNNNNNNNNNNNNNNNNNNNNNNNNNNNNNNNNNNNNNNNNNNNNNNNNNNNNNNNNNNNNNNNNNNNNNNNNNNNNNNNNNNNNNNNNNNNNNNNNNNNNNNNNNNNNNNNNNNNNNNNNNNNNNNNNNNNNNNNNNNNNNNNNNNNNNNNNNNNNNNNNNNNNNNNNNNNNNNNNNNNNNNNNNNNNNNNNNNNNNNNNNNNNNNNNNNNNNNNNNNNNNNNNNNNNNNNNNNNNNNNNNNNNNNNNNNNNNNNNNNNNNNNNNNNNNNNNNNNNNNNNNNNNNNNNNNNNNNNNNNNNNNNNNNNNNNNNNNNNNNNNNNNNNNNNNNNNNNNNNNNNNNNNNNNNNNNNNNNNNNNNNNNNNNNNNNNNNNNNNNNNNNNNNNNNNNNNNNNNNNNNNNNNNNNNNNNNNNNNNNNNNNNNNNNNNNNNNNNNNNNNNNNNNNNNNNNNNNNNNNNNNNNNNNNNNNNNNNNNNNNNNNNNNNNNNNNNNNNNNNNNNNNNNNNNNNNNNNNNNNNNNNNNNNNNNNNNNNNNNNNNNNNNNNNNNNNNNNNNNNNNNNNNNNNNNNNNNNNNNNNNNNNNNNNNNNNNNNNNNNNNNNNNAAGCUUGAGAUAAGAGGAGACGUUAUAUGUGCUGGAUGUCAAUAUGGGAAAGCACAUCAACUUCCCUAUGGAGAAUCAAAGUAUCAAGCGNNNNNNNNNNNNNNNNNNNNNNNNNNNNNNNNNNNNNNNNNNNNNNNNNNNNNNNNNNNNNNNNNNNNNNNNGACCAGUGAAGCAGUCCUCCAUCAGCGGUUACCGUUACAUGGUAACAUUCAGUGAUGACUUCUCAAGGUACGUAUGGAUUUACUUCAUAAAAGAGAAAUUUGAAGUAUUUGAGAAGUUUAAAGAGUUUCAAUAUACUGUGGAGAAUGAUAUUGGAAGAAAAAUCAAAUGUCUCCGUACGGACAAUGGGGGAGAAUACACGUCACGAGAGUUCAAUGAAUAUCUUAAAGAGAAGUUGAUAAGACGACAACUAACUUGUCCAAAUACACCACAACAAAAUGGAGUGGCUGAAAGAAAAAAUAGACAUCUGGCGGAGAUAUGCAGAAGUAUGUUGCAUAGUAUGAAUGUACCAGCAAGGUUUUGGGCAGAAUGCAUGAAGACUGUUGUCCACAUCAUCAACAGGCUGCCGCAGGCAAGAUUGAGAUUUAUCUCACCAUUUGAGAAACUUAAAAAAAUAGAUUCCUACUGUAAGCCACUUUCGAGUUUUUGGUUGUGUGUGCUAUGUGUUCGUGCCAGAUCAUCUCCGCAACAAGUUUGAUAAGAAAGCUGUUCGUUGCAUCUUUGUUGGAUACGAUGAACAAAGAAAAGGAUGGAAGUGUUGUGACCCUACCACAAAUCGGACAUAUGUGUCAAGAAAUGUGGUAUUUGAUGAAGCAUCAUCUUGGUGGUCCAAAGAAGUCUCCCUGCCAGACUCAAUAGCUCUUGAGCAAAAGCUGCAAGAUAAGCUCAAUGAAGUAGAACAAGGGAACAAGAUAGACUCUAACCAGGAGGUAUCUCCACAAAAGGAAAAGAAAAGCUUACCACAAACUGGAGCUUGUGAAACACCAGAUGAGUUGCAAGAAGAAGUCCAAGAAGAGUCACAAUCGCAACUGAGGAGGUCUACACGACUGAAGCGUCCAAACAUCAAGUACAUAGAUGCAGCAUUAACCGAGGUGGUUAACAUCAAAGAGGCUGCUACCUUUGAAGAAGCUUCAAAGAGUAGGGAUCGGAAUAAUCCGACGAAGGUGGAGAUCCCCAAAGGGUAUGGACGUUAUGAUGCUUGCAAAGUUUCAGGAAUCGCUCACAAAAGACGCAAAGAAAAAAUUAAGUUGGUGUUGAGGGGGAGUGUUAAGAAUUCAUCACCAACUUAAUUCUUUACUUAAGAUAAAUCAAGAAAAAUCUAGAAUAUUCCGGAGGUGUAGAGAAUUGAAGGAAGAUCUCUAGAAUGAGUAUUCUAGAAAGAAUAGUCUAGAAAUGUUCUAGAAAGAAUAGUUCUAGAAAAAGAUAGUUAGGAAUAUUCUAGAAUAGAGUAGUAUGUAUCUCUCUAGAUUCUUCCAUCACCACCUAUAAAUAGAGGUGGUCCAUUUGAGUUGUAAGCAACCAAGCAAGAAACCAAGCAAGAAAUAAGAGAGCAAACAAGAGUGAGUGCUUAAGUCAAAUAGUGUUGCUGAAGCAAGCAACAAGUGUGAUCAAGAUUGUAAGACCGAAGCGGGUCCUUACUUUGAUAUAAUAAAAUUCAAGUUGUGAGAAAUCGAUUGUGCCCGUCGUCUCCAAAACAAUAAUAUUCAACACUCAUCCCCAAUUCUAGAGACUAAGUUUCUCAUCUUCAUUCUUAUCUCUAUCCUUACUUGUUAUUUCAAUAUUUCCAUUGUAAUUAGAUAGUUUGAUUAUUCCAAUUAGAAUAUUAAAGUUGUAAUAGUGUUCCAGUGCUCUUAUUAAUAGUGUGAGAAUUUUGGUUUGUUACAUCAGACGUUCUCUUUUCGAAUAAUUGAACGUCUCAUAUUAUUUGCUAAUGAAAAAUAUCAUGAGUAGGACCCAAAAAGAUAGUAGUACCAGAUAACAAACAAAAAAAUACUGUACAGUCUAAAAAUAAGUAUAGAAUAGCUUGAACUUUUGGGCCGUUGUAUAAAACACCCAGAAAGGGAGACAGGGGAGUCACUGGUCCACUUAAUUAUUACAUGUAGUAAAAUUAUUAGUUAUGUACUAGCAAUACUGGAAGUAUUAUUUCAUGGCAUAUAUUGGUGACUAAGAUAAGUGAUAAGCAUAAUAAAUAAUUUAGAAGUAGGUGGAUUCGAGUCAUCAACGAGCUCCCGGGGAGGAAUGAAAAAACUCUUAAUAAUAACUACAACAUGGAGUGGCCACUGCUAGCAUAGGUGAUAUCCUACGAAUAAUGAUGCCACUGCCUUCCGUCAUAUCCAAAUCCUCCGGUUUUAACACUUCUGGUAAUGCUAAAUUGAACUUGUGCACAAUCCUUGCUAAUGCUAGCUCAAUUACCACAAUAGCAAAACCAGUUCCUGGGCAGCCCCUUCUCCUAAAAUUGUCAACUUUUUAUAUUUUGGCUUACUUGGAAGCAAGUCUAUCCUCUCCUAUCCAAUCAAUUAGGGUGGCCAUUAAUCAGAUAUUAUUAGGCUAAAGAUAACAUAUUGCUCCCUCCGUUUUUAAUUAUUUAUCCAUUUUUUUAGUUAUUCCUAAUUACUUGUCUAUUUUGACAAAUCAAGAAAGAAUAAUUUUUUUUACCUAUUAUACCGUCAAUUUAUUACUUUGAAAAAAGUAGAACUUUUUGAAAAUCUUGAGUUUUUAAUUCAUCCACUUCAUAAUUAAUAUGGGUAAAAUGGUAAACUCACUAUUUCAAUAAUUGUUUUCUUAAUAAGUGUGCCAAUUUAAAAAUGGAUAAGUAAUUAGGGAUAGAGAAAGUAUAUCGAAAUAAUAUAAUCAGAUAUUAUGCUAAAGAUGAUUAACAAAACUUUGAACAAUUAUAAAUAAGAUAGCAAAAAAAUCGAUUAGAUAAUACUUAGCAAAUUAACACGGUUCAACGAUUAGUGAUGGAAUCUGAAUAUGAUUCGGGAUUUUCACUAUUAAUGAAAUUCAAAAGGCAUAAUACAUAAAUGUGCCCUUUAACUUGACUUCAUUUUAUGUUUAUGUCGUUCAAUUUUGGGUAUGCACAUAAACUUGUAUAAAGUUGAACAACUAGCCACAUGAGUUCUACACGACACAAUACAUUUAAGACACCACGUAGGAUAAAAAAUGACAUGUAGGAUACCAUAUAGGACAUGUGUGUCUGUUUCUUCAACUUUAUACAAAUUUAAAUGUCUACUUGUGCACACCCGAAGUUGAAGGGCAUAAAUGUGAUUUGAAGCCAAGUUAAAUGGUAUAUUUAUGUAUUAUGCCUAUUCAAAAUAUGAAUAAGUAAACAUACAAAUUAGCUGACUACAAUAAUACAAAGAUAAAAAAACAAUUUUAAUUAUAUGUAUAAAUAGUAUAAUUUUCCAUCAAAGGUGGUUCAUUUGAUUCCUCACUUCUUUCCCUCAUUUAAAACUAUGCAAUAUGAGACUUUCAUGUCACAUGGAAUCCUUCUCUUUUUUUUUUUUGGAAAUCUUAAUAGCUCAGUUAACUAACUGACUAUUUGAAUUCUCGAUUCCCCAUACUGUAAUCCUCUACCCCAAUUUUUUUCAUUACCUUCCUCACAUAUGUAUAAGACCGAAUCCAAAGAACUAAGAUGAGAGAAUUUUGGGAGAGCCGCCACUCCAACUACUGCCAUGUAUUAUCCAUACUAGAUCUGACCAUCUGUCCAUCCUACCCUCCUCUACGUUCUUGACAACCCAUUUUUGUCUUAGUCAAGUCUUUUAGUGGCACAUUUUGACCUUCUUUUCCAUUACUUAGAAAAAGUGAGCUAUUAUUCAGAUACAAAAUACUAUCAUUAUCGCCUAGAAAAUUAGACAUUCAACCCGUAAUCACAAUGAUCCAAUUACAAAAGCUCUGAACCCCCUAGGUCUAGACUGGCUCUGGCCCCUGGUUUUAUCACUUGACCUUCACAUGAGUAAACUCGUUGAUAUAGAGGAUUACAGUAUCGAUUUCUUUAAAAGAAAAAAACCUUAAUUUAUAAAAGUUCAAAAGAUUUUAAUUCAAUGUUUGUAAGUAAAAAAACAUAUUUCAUAAAACGGUUGCAAAUCACAUCGAAUAAGUUCCAUUGAUUGGUGUAUGGUUCUCAUAAGGGAAGUAACAGCAGCAUAAGCCAUAUAUCCAAAAAAUAGGACUAUCUCUCACUCUCAGUAUGAAAAUGGACAAAUUAAUUGCCACAAGUUAUGAAAAUGGCUAGUCCUCAGAACACCUUAACUACUUGCUGCAGAAUAAAAAAAAGACGCAAAAAAUGGAAAAUAAUAUGUUAGAUGUCCCAUAAUUAAGGAACAAGAGAACAUUAUAGUAAGAAUGAGCAUGCAGGUAUAAGAACUUACUCAUUAUUGCGGCAAGAAGCAACUUCUUUCUCAAAGUCAUCAUCAUCAUCAUCUUCAUCUGUUGUUACAGUAUCAAAUACCAAUUUCUCGAGCUGAUAUAAGUAGCGAAAAUCAUACAGGUCCUUGUGAUUGCGAAAGUCCUCUGGGACGCCAAAUACUUUCAACUUCUUUAAAUUGGGAAAUAGUCUAAAAAAAGACCCUGUACAAUACCAAGGAUUCAAUUGAUUGAGGCAUUGCAAACUUUUCAAAACCAAUCUGUUCUCUGUAGGCUCAUGACUCUGCAAGUAAUUCCAGCCCAUACACAGCUUCCUCAAUUGUGGCAUUGUCAAAAUUUCCGAUGGUAAUAUGAAAGGAUAAGCACAAUCACGAAACGGAAAGUUAAACUUAAAAGUUUGUAGAUAGCAUAGGCUUGAUAUCGAUAGAGGAAUGUCUAUUAUUGAUGAGGGAACAGCUUUUAACGAUCCUCGAUACUGCUUUAAGCAAGGAUAAAAACACAAAGAUAGGUAUCUCAAAUGAAUUAGAGAAAGUACUCCACUGGGAAAAAUUGGGUAUAUAUUCAAACCAAGAUCUAGUACUCUUACUAGCUUGAAAGACAAUUCCAGUGUGAAGCAUUUCAAUCCACCCAACAUGAUAAUAGAAUGAGCCUCACUGUUACGACACCAAGCCAAUUCUUCCUUCUUAUAGAUACUGAUCCGACUUCGACUCUUAAAGGAACACUGCAUGGAUUGUGCACAUGAAUUUUGAUCACUCUUUCCUCUGAUAACAUUCACAAAAUUCAUGUUUCGAGCUUCCCUCAAACAGAGUUCACGGAUCACAUCAUGCAUUCCACAUCUCUCUAUUUCCCCAUCAAAACUCAAAUUGUGGAUAGAAAUUAGACUUCUAUCUACAAGUUCGUUUAUACAUGUUUCUGCCACCUCUUCUAUGCUUUUUCCUUCUUCUUCAUUCAAAAACCCCUCUACGGCCCAUAACUCAACAAGUGCAUUUACAUAAAUCCGUUCAUCCUCUGCGAAAAUUGCAAAAUACAGAAAACACGGUUUUAGGUGAGAAGGCAAGUGAUGGUAACUCAAAGCCAACACUCUCAUGCAUUUUGCUUCAAGAUCUCUGCUUACCACCGAACUUACAUUCUCCGCAACAUUUUGCCACUCAUCCAAUGUUUUACUGAUUUUGGAGAGAAGUCCAGCAAUCAAAGUAAUUUCUAGAGGUAACCCUCCACAUUUUAAUGCAAUUUGUUUCCCAAUAUUUUCAAAUUCAGGAGAAUAAGAACCUUCUUUUUCAAAGAUCUUUUUGUGUAGUAAAUUCCAACUUUCGUCAAAAUUCAUGAGGCGCAUNNNNNNNNNNNNNNNNNNNNNNNNNNNNNNNNNNNNNNNNNNNNNNNNNNNNNNNNNNNNNNNNNNNNNNNNNNNNNNNNNNNNNNNNNNNNNNNNNNNNNNNNNNNNNNNNNNNNNNNNNNNNNNNNNNNNNNNNNNNNNNNNNNNNNNNNNNNNNNNNNNNNNNNNNNNNNNNNNNNNNNNNNNNNNNNNNNNNNNNNNNNNNNNNNNNNNNNNNNNNNNNNNNNNNNNNNNNNNNNNNNNNNNNNNNNNNNNNNNNNNNNNNNNNNNNNNNNNNNNNNNNNNNNNNNNNNNNNNNNNNNNNNNNNNNNNNNNNNNNNNNNNNNCAUGUUCAGGUAAACUGACAAGUGAGCUAGUUUGUGGUUUUAGAUCUUUCAUGCUGUCCGAUGCUGCCAUCCACUGUUUCACGGUGGAAUCAAUGUAUUCUAGUGCUUGUUCCAAGACGAAAAAAAUCUCCCACAUAGCCCUGCUUCUUUCCUCCAAAUUCUGUGCUAAAAAAACAUUUCUUGAUUCCGAGUCAACCAUAUCUUCUGUUGUGUAUGCUACCUCUGCGAUUUCAACUUCCAAGAUUGUUAACCCCUCAUGAUCGCCCAUUAUAUUGCAGGAUUUCUCCAGAAUAGCUCUCAAAGAUUUGAGCUUUUCAUAAAACGGUUGCAAAUCACAUCCAGUAAGUUCCAUUGAUUGAUGUAUGGUUCUCAUAAGGGAAGUAACAGCAGCAUAAGCCAUAUAUCCAAAAAAUAGAAAUAUCUCUCAGUAUGAAAAUGGACAAAUUGCCACAAGUUAUGUAAUUUUUCAGUUUUUAAGAAAACAGAAAAUGCAAAGUUCUUUCUUUUACUAGCUAUUUCCAUCACAUUUCCAGCUAGGUCCACCAACCUUAUCAUCAUGUAGACAAAAGCAGAGACCAAAGUUAAAAAAAAGUAGAAAAAUUUGUGAUCAUUCAUUAUUAGACCGUACACAUAUCUAUUCAUGAAUAUAAGUAUGCUUCUUACAUACAAGAGAUUGAUGAUUUUAAUUACAUUGAAAGCAACUUAGUAGAAUUUUCCAAAUCAAAGAGAGAAAUAUUAAGAUCCAAGUAGGAAUUUCUCUAUUCCUAGUUCGAUUCAAUUAACCAAGCAUAAAUAUCUCUUAAUAUACAUGAGAAGUUUAGACUCUAAAAGUCAAAUCAACAAAAUAUUUAUGGGCUAACACAUGAAAAACUAUUGAGAAAAUCGCCUAAUUUCUGUAAAUUGGCCCUUAAAUCUCCAAAAUGAACUCUAAAAAUUGUCAGACUGUACGUAUUGCUCCCCAACUCCCUACUGAGGGUUCUGUAAAGAUUUCGAUUAGAAUUCGUCCGUAAGUCAUAUCACCAAUAUAUUAAUGACUAACACACACGAAAAACUGAGAAAAUUGUCUAAUUUCUUGAAAUUGGCCCCUAAAUGCCUAAAAUGGACUCUAAAAGUUGUGAGACUGUACGUACUGCUCCCCCGACUCCCUACAGAGGGUUUCGUAAAUGUGUAGCAAAGAAAUCGUCUGGAAGUCAUAUCACUAUAAUAUUAAUGGGCUAACACACACAAACCACUGAGAAAGUCGCGUAUUCCUGUAAAUUGGCCCCUAAAUGCCCAAAAUGAACUCUAAAAUUGUGAGACUAUGUACUGCUCCACUAACUCCCUAUGGAGGGUUCCGUAAAGAUUUCACAAAGAAAUUAUUCGGAAGACAUAUCACCAAAAUAUUUAUGGGCUAAUACAUUUUUAUUUGUCCAUUUGAUUUGACAUAUCUUUCAAGUACUUUGAUCUGGUUAUACUUUUUUUUUAUUGCUAAAAAUAAAUAUCCACUUUUACUUGUUCAUUCUACAAAACAAAGACAAUAUUUUAUUGCUUGAUUCAGAUAUAAAAUUUGAGUAGGCUAAUUUACAAACCAUCUGUAGUCAUCCUGCCCCUAUGCUAUAACAUUUGAAAGAAAGAGGUCAUCAUCAUCAUAUUCAUCAUCGUUGUCAUCUUCAUCAUCAUCUUCAUCAUCGUUGUCAUCUUCAUCAUCAUCUUCAUCUUCUUCAUCAUUAUCAUCAUCAUCAUCAUGAUCGUCAUCGUCACUUGUUUCCUCACUGUUGAAAAAGCCAGCAACAAAAGAUGAAAAAUGAAAUGUUAUGCAAGUAUAACAAGUUACACAAUUACUAUAUUGGAAGGAUUUAAAUCAUAUACAAUGACAACGUAUGAACUUUUACACUAUAGGUGCCAUUUAACUGCUUAUUAAAGCAAUUUAUAAUUAUUUUAUUACUAGUUCUGGACACGUGCUUUGCAUGUGUAUAUUACACGUUUAGUCACGAUUGUAAGAGGGUGUACACCAGGAUCAUUCGAAGAGCAAAGUCGUGUGAGCCUUACAGAUAUUCUUGACGUACUCCUAUUAAAAUCUGUAUCAUAUUCGUAACUUUUUGAAUGAGGUUCACCUUUUUCCUCAUUGUACUUUGUACAUGGAUGUUGUCCAUCACAAUAUCCCCUUUUUCAAAUUUCAUAGCUGAACUACUAGGUGUACGAGUUCCUACCAGAACUACUACCAACUAUUUAUCAAAACACACAUCAACUAUAUAUGAGUUGUUCCCUUUUACUAGUGGUGACAAAUAGGUGGAUUUGGACGGGACUGAAAAUGGAUUGAGCAACAUGGUCGUAACUCACUUAAUCUCUUAAAGCCAGAAAACUUUAAAGAGUUAAUUGAAAUAAACUUAAUGACUAUCCUACUUGAAGUAUCACCGUCGUUCAGGUAAGAAAAAGGAAGUAUAUCAAGGAAGAAGAUGUCUUACAAAGCCUGAUGGAUAUGGACCUCGAUAGAACCUCCAUAGUUGUCUUGAAUGUCCUGUUGAAUCUGCUUUGCGGAAUUCCCAACAGAUUCUGGGCAGUUUCUUAUAUAGAUUAGAGCAAGUGUGGUUAUAUCUGCAAAAUCUUGAGGGAUUGAGUCCAAAAACCUGCAACUAUCAAGAAAUAGUCGUUCAAGGCACGGAAAGUGAUCACAACUAGCUCUCCAGUACUGAAUAUGUGAUCUUUUAAGUAACAAGAACUUCAAAAAAGGAAACCCUUCCUCAGCUACUUCCCACUCCCUGCCUCUGCAUACACCCUGUGUUAGUUCAAGAAGUUCAAGUUUGGGCAAUUUUCCGACAACAAUGCUUAAAUCCUUCCAUGACAAGAAGAAAUUUCCUGUAAAAGUUAAAUUCUUAAGGUUUCGUGGAAAAGCAUCUGGAGGAGGUAAGAUCAAAGAUGGAACAACUUCUACAACAAGUGGAUUCCUUGUCUGAAAACACAUUCUCCUCUCCAAAAAGUAAGCAUUAUUUUGAGGAGGAAGACAAAAUGCUAGUUCCUCGAGAUGAUCUAAGUAGCGAAAAUCAUAGAGGUCUUUGUGACUAUGGAAGUCUUGUGGGAUGCCACGUACUUGCAACUCCUUUAAAUUGGGAAAUAGUCUAAAGAAAGAUGCAGUACAAUAGCUAGGAUUCCAUCCAAACAGAGAAUGUAAAUUUUUCAUAACCAAACUUUUCUCUGUAAGCUCAUGAUAUCGCAAGUAAUUCCGAUCCAAAUGAAGGUGCCUCAACUGUGGCAUUGUCAAAAUAUCUGAUGGUAAUAUCAAAGCAUGUUUACGAAGAUUAAUGACGAGUGGAAGGUAAAGUACCAAACUUUGCAGAUAGCAUAGGUUUGAUAUGGAUGUAGGAAUGUCUACUCUUGAUGAGAGAACAUCUUCUUCGGAUCCUAGAUAUUGCUCAACGUUAGGAUAAAUACGCAAAGCUAGGUGUCUUAAGUGAAUCAAAUAAAGUAUUUCACGGGGAAAAGUUAGACAGAUAUUAUCAGCAAGAUCUAGAACUCUUACUAGCUUGAACGGCAAGUACUCCCUCAUGCAACAUCGGAAUCUACCAAAUAAGAUAACAGAAUGAGCUUCACUGUUAAGGCACCUAACAUACUCUUUCUUAUUAUGGAUGCUGAUUCGACUUCGACUCUUAGACAAACACUGCAUGGAUUUCACAUAUGAAUUUUGAUCAUUCUUUCUUCUGAGAACAUUCACAAAAUUCAUGUUACGAGCUUCCAUCAAACAGAGUUCACGAGUCAUAUCAUGAAUUCCACAACACUUAAUUUUUCCAUCAAAAGUAGUACUUUUAAUGGAAAUUAAACUUCUAUCAAUAAGAUCUUGUAGGUACUUUUCUGCCACUUCUUCUAUGCUUUUCAUCUCUUCUACCUUCAAAAAUCCCUCUGUUUCCCACAAUAUCAUAAGUUUAUUGACAAAAAUCAGUUUAUCCUCUGGGAAGAUUGCGAAAUAUAAAAAGCAUGGUUUUAGGUGGUGAGGCAAGUAAUGGUAACUCAUUGCCAACACCCUCAUGCAUUGGACACCAACAUCUGUGCUUACUGCUGAACUUACAUUUUCAGCAACACUUUGCCACUCACUCAAUGCUUUGUCAAUUUUAGUGAGAAGUCCCGCGAUCACAACAAUUGCUAGAGGCAAUCCUCCGCAUUUCAAUGCAAUUUGCUUUCCAAGUUGUUCAUAUUCAGGGGAGAAAGAGUCUUUCGUAAAGACUUUUUCAUAUAAUAAAUUCCAACUUUCGUCAAAAUUCAUGAGGCGCAUGUGAUGAGGAAGCUUACCUGAGCUAGCAUAUUCAGCCACUUCCACAUUCCGAGUAGUCAAGAGUAUUCGGCUUCCAUUAUGAAAGUCUGGGAAACAUAUUUGUAUAUCAUCCCAAGCUUUUGUAGUCCAUAUGUCAUCAAUGACUACCAAAUAUCUCUUGCCUUUUAGAAGCUUUUGCAGUCGAUCUGCUAGUUGCCCGUCAUGUAGCUGAUCAUAAGGUUUAUCACUUAUACAAGAAAGAAGGUCUAGGAAAACAUUUCUCACACAAUACUCUUGUGAAACAGUAGCUUUUGCACGUAUGUCAAAGCGAUACAUCAUGCAUGGAUCGUUGUAGAGUUUUGUUGCCAAAGUUGUCUUGCCAAUGCCUCCCAUACCUACAAUUGAUACAACUUCUAGUUCUCUUUCUCCUCUAGCAAGUUGAUCCAGCAUCAUCUUGAAUUCAUUUUCAUAGCCAACCAUUAUAACCUCGGACCGCUCAACAGCAAGUUCAGGUAUCUUGGAUAGACAGAAAUUUUGUGCUUUGAAAUCUUUAAUGUUGUUGUACCAGUCCCAUAUUGCCAACCACUGCAUCAUGAAGGAAUCAAUACAUUCUACCUCUUGUUCCAAGGAACAACAGAGUUCCCAGAAAGCUUUGCUUCGUGUAAUUACAGUUUCUGCAGAAGAAACUUUUCUUGAUUUCGAAUCAACCAUGUCUUCUGCUUUGAAUGCUACCUCCGUGAUUUCAACUUCCAAGGUUGUUAACCCCUCAUGAUCGCCCGUUAUAUUGCAGGAUUUCUCUAGAAUAGCUCUCAAAGAUUCGAGCUUUUCAUAAAACGGUUGCAAAUCACAUCCAUUAAGUUCCAUUGAUUGGUGUAUGGUUCUCAUAAGGGAAGUAACAGCAGCAUAAGCCAUAUAUCCAAAAAAUAGGAAUCUCUCACUCUCAGUAUGAAAAUGGACAAAUUAAUUGCCACAAGUUAUGUAAUCUUUCUUUUACUAACUAUUUCCAUCACAUUUCUAGCUAGGUCCACUAACAGGAUAAAGUAGAAAGAUGUGAGGUCACUAACCUUAUCAUCAUGAAGACAAAAGAAGAGACCAAAGUUAAAAAAAAAAAAAGACGAAAAAGUAGAAAAAAUUGUGAUCAUUCAUUAUUAGACCCUACACUAAUCUCUUCAGAAAAAUAAAAUAAAAUUUUAGUUUAAAUAAAGGAAUUCAAGCUGUAUAUUGAUAACGUCCAAUUCAAAUUCAAGUGUAGUACGGUCUAGCAAUAAUAAACUCAACAAAAGUUGGAGUCGAGGAGUACGCUUGUGUCAAGGUGACAGAGAGUGUGCGAAUUUGCUAACAAACAAAAGGUCUUUCUUUUAGCUAGGUCCAUAAUCCAUGUAGUGCUCUAUACUCUCUAGUCUCUAUCAACCAGCUCAAGUUUAAGGGUGUGUUUGGUAUGGAGGAAACAUUUUCUCUAGAAUAGGGAGAGAUUUGUGCAUAAACAAGGAAGAAUCUCUCAGUAUAACAGUGAAUGGGUAUUUUUUUAAGAUUUGCUUCUUUUGUGUAUGACUUUUGUAAGAAACAUUCUGGUAAAAGUUAAAAAAAAUGAUCUUGUGGAAUAGCCACAGUGAAUUCCUUAAUAUUCGAGUAGAAAAAGCCAGAGAGGAUAACAUUGCUAUUUGUACACUUAUCGUGACACGAGUAGUCUCUUAAAUAUUACACCUUUCUACUGAUGUUGCUGAUGCCACUGGAUUUAGCCUUCCGUCUUCCUUUGCAAGGUAGAUCGAGGACUCCCAAGAAAGGAAACACAAGUUACUGGAGUCUGUUCUGGCCUAUACAGUAUGUAUGUACAUAAAAUUUGGAGUAUCUAAAAACCACUGACAAAUGGCUAUACGAAAGAUCAUAUACAAUUAAAUUACAAGCCAUUUGCAAUCAUCCUGCCCCUUUAUGCAGAAUCUUUUCAAAGAAAAUGAAAACGAACAAAACAAACACUCACACAUUUGGCUUCUGAUUUGACAUUUAUUUCAGAGAACUGGCUAGUCGCUGCAGGAAAAAAAAAGACGCAAAAAAUGGAAAAUAAUAUGUUAGAUGUCCCAUAAUUAAGGAACAAGAGAACAUUAUAGCAAGAAUGAGCAUGCAGGUAUAAGAACUUACACAUUAUUGCGGCAAGAAGCAACUUCUUUCUCAAAGUCAUCAUCAUCAUCUUCAUCUGUUGUUACACUAUCGAAAAUGCUAGCUACAAAAGAUGAAAAAUGAAAUGUUACACUUCCCAAAAUCAAGAAUGAGCAUGCAAGUAUAACAAGUUACACAAUAUUGGAAGGAUUCGAAUCAAUCACAAUGACAGCAUCAAGAACUUUUGUUGAAUUGGUGUAAUUUGACUUACUAAAGCUAUUAUCCAGAUUAUUAUCGAGUUUACUAUAAUGAUGAGUUAAAUAUUGUUGUAAAUCAAGGAAGAAGAUGUCUUACUAAAGAUUACGAGUAUGGACCUCGAUAGAGCUUCCAUAGUUGUCUUGAAUGUCCUGUUGAAUUUGCUUGGCGGAAUUCCCAACAGAUUGUUGACAGUAAUGUAUAUCAAUAAGAGCUAGUGUGGUUAUAUCUGCAAAAUCUCGAGGGAUUGAAUCCAAAUACUCGCAAUUUCUAAGAAAAAGUCGUUCAAGGUACGGAAAGUGAUCACUACUAGCUCUCCAGUACCGAAUGUAUAUUUGAUCCAGAAACAAGAACUUCAAGUGAGGAAACCCUUCCUCAACUACUUCCCACUCCUCGCCUAUGACGGCAUUGUGUGAUAGUUUAAGGACCUCGAGUUUGGGUAAUUUACCAACAAUGCUCAAAUCCUUCCAUGCCAAAAGGAAAUCUCCUCUAAAAGUUAAACUCUGGAAAAGAUUAAUUAACAAAAAUUUAUGGUACUAAUUGGGGUAUUAAUUAACAUAUCCUUACUUGAUCACAUAUGUAUUGUUCUGUGUGAAAUUUUCCUCUGACUGAUAGUUGACUAAAUUAUAUUGCAUACGUUCGUGUACAUUUUCUCACUUGGAAGAGUGGAUUUGGACGUAAUUAACUAUCACCAUCGUUUAGGUAGAAAAAAGAAAAUAACUAAUAGUUGAAUGUUUUAAUACAUAGAUGAUCAACUAAUAUGAGAAGAAAAGAGUAGCGUAAAUGUGAGAUUCACUUCUCACCAAGAAUCCUCCUUUCUUAUUAUUUUCCUUUUAGAGGUUAAUAAUUAUUAAGUAUCCCUAGAAUAAUUUAUUGAAAAAGUAGAUUUGAAAGAAAGCAAUUACUCUCUUCUUCCUAUGCGGGACUUCUUGAACAUAACUAAUUUGACAAAAACCACAAUUUUAUUUAUUUUUAGGUGGAAUUAUAUCAAUAAGGAACUAUAUAUGCUUAUGAUAUUAAUCUAAGACCAUUAUUUGUUACUUGAACACAUGGAUUCAUCAUCUGAACAAUUGAAACAAUUAAUACUUGUGUGAACCUUUUUUUAUUUCGAGUGAUGUGUCAUAAUCAUUAGCCAACUAAGACUAGCGUUAAAUUUUUGGUAAGUCUCAAGAAGUGUAAUUAAUACUUAAUAAAAUAAUCUCAUCCUUGAGAUUCAAGAACUUGUUUGGAUUGAAUAGGUUUUUAUCAUCAAGAUCUAGAACAAAGUCUUAAUAUUAGUAAGAGGUAUUUUUGUGUGAAAAGUUUUCUUUGAGGUUCGAGAAAUGGAAUAGAUAUGGACUACAAGUUGAUAUUUCCCAUUGGAAAAUUCACACAAAAAGGAACAAGGAAUUCUCAAUGAAAAAAGCGCUCUCCAAAUCUGUUUAGUAUUUGUCAUGAGGUUCUUAUCAUAAUUGGAUUUUCCUUUUAGGAAAAGGUAAACACAGUCUCCAUAUUUGUCUAGUUCUUUUUCUUGUAGGAAAAAAAUUAUGACUCUAUAAAUAGAUGUUUUGUAACAUCCGACAAUUUGAAAUAGCUAAGAAGAGGCUUGAAAUUUGGAAAUUUUCAAUUUUUGGAAAGGAUUUGAAAAUCUGGAAAAUUUGGCUAAGUAUGGGAAAGGUGAGUUUUUUUGGGCCCAAACUUUGAACAACCAUAAAUUCUAGCUCAGGAUGAGUUAGGUGGAGUUCCGGUUAUGUUUGCAUAGCCCUCGGAACGACCUUUCCAACGCCACUGAGUUUGCUCAAUUCUGAGUUCGUAUGAGCGAGUUAUGGCCAUUGAAAGUUGGGCAGUUGGCAGGGAAUCCGUCCGGAAAAUUAAGGGCAUUUUAGUCUUUUCCCUAGCCAAUUCUUUUGGGAUUAUAUUGUUGUAUAGGGCUGAUCUUUAGAUCAUUUUGUCCCAUUUUAAGAAAUUAAAAUCUAGGGCUUGAGAGUGAAGAAGAGAAGAAGGAGAAGAAGAAGAGAAAAAUCGAGGAGAUCAACAAGUUUCCGACAAGAUCAUCGUGAAUGUUCGUCGGGGGUGAUCCCUAUCAAGGUAUGUGAGCUUUUAGUGUUGGGUGAUACUUUCCCCCACACACCUAGCCCCUUUUAUUUAUUAAGGAAGGAUUGGUUAUGUUGUUAAAGUUGUUAGUUGUUGUGGUUGAAGUUGUUGGAGUUGUUAAAGUUGUUAGUUGUUGUUGUUGGAAUUAUUGUUGGUGGUGGGACAUAAUUGAGUUGUGUUUUUAUGUUGAAAUCUAUUGAAUGUUGAGGGAUUUUAUGUUUCUAAGUGAUUGGGGGCUGGAAUCUUUGAGGUUAGAGGGUUUAGAGUUGGUAACGUGAAGGAGAAAGUCGGGUAGCUUGCGAGGAGCAUGUCUGCGUCGCGGACUUGUUCCUCUGUGAACAAAAAAUCUUCUCCGCGUCGCGGACAGGACGCAGACUCCACUGUUUUCAGAAUUUAUGUUCGAAGAUUUUCUUAGGUUUGGCUGUCCCAAAUCAUUCGCAAAUCAUUCCUAAACAUCAUGAGACCCUUCCAAACACCAAUCAAGUCCUUGAAUCCAUAAUCCAAUUCAAGGUGAGUUAUGAUCAAGUCAAGUGAAGUUAGUUUUCAAGUCAAGUGAAGUUAGAAGUCAAGUGAAGUUAGAGCCAAGCUUAGAAGUUAAGCAAGUCAAAGCAAGUCUUUAAAGCUUUUCAAGAGUCUUCAUUGAACGUUUUGACUUCAUUCUAAGGCUCAAGUUCCAAGUUAAGUAUAGAGUUUCAAGUCAAGCAAAGAGUCUCAAGUUUCAAGUUAAGUAAAGAGUAUCGAGUUUCAAUUUAAGUCAUAAUUUUUCAGUCAAGAGUCAAGAGUUGAGUUCAAUUCUCAAAAGUAAUUAGGGAACUAAGUAUUUCCCAAAGAAGUUUUAUAAGUGUUUUCACAUUUAAGUUGAGAGGAAACGGAGAUUUCCAAAAGAGUUUUGAGAAGUUUGAGCACUAUCUCUUUUAAAAGAAAAGAUGAGUUUUUGAAAAAGAGUUUCUAAAUUAUGAUUAGUAUGACAAAUGGAGUAUGUCAUCAAUGUUUAAACAGUAUGGUCUCUAGAUAUACCAUCAAUGUUUAAGCAGUAUGAAUAUCCCGAGUCAUCAAUGAUCAUAAAAAAAAAAAAUGUGGUUUUGACUUGUUCUAUUUAGAAAGAGUUUUCAAGUGCCUUCGGGCUAAGUUUUGAGUAAUUAUCUCAACUAAAGAAAGAUGUGCUUAAAACACUUAUGAGCUAAAGUAUUUUGGGAGUAGUAUCGAGCACCGAAUUGGGGAAACGAGUUCAUAUUAAACUCAACUCUCCAUAAGAACCAUGUAGCCAAACAUGGGAUUUCUCGGAUCAUACUUUUUAGAUGAUCACGAAAGUUAAGCUAGUGGAUCCAUUAAGCAAAAGUUAAAGUAAGGUCCUAUAUCGAUGGCAAGGUAUAGGAUGGUCCUUGGGCAACGUGAGGUAAAACGUUGUAUCACCACUCAGAUUCAUAGUGGUGGUUUGUCGGUUAGAGAAGCUCCCACAGUAGAAAGAGCAUGGUUCCUCGAGGGUUCUGCUUAGUAUGGAUGGGGGUAUGGGACUUCAUUCAUGCAUUGCACAAGUAGACUUUGAGAGGAAGCAUGGUAUUUUUAUGAUAUUAUAAAUAUGAUUUUUACGUCAUGUUUUAAUAGUUUCAAAAGCUUUAUAUAUAUUGCAUGUGUCUCAUUGCUUUAUAUUAAGUUCAGUUAUUCUUGAGUUGUACAGAGCCAAGGUAAGUUCUCUUUUGUAUCCCUUUUCAAGCUUAAGUUGUUGUUUAGCGGUCCAGCUCGCAUACUCGUACAUUCCAUGUACUGAUGCCAGUUGGCCUGCAUCUUAUGACGAUGCAGACACNNNNNNNNNNNNNNNNNNNNNNNNNNNNNNNNNNNNNNNNNNNNNNNNNNNNNNNNNNNNNNNNNNNNNNNNNNNNNNNNNNNNNNNNNNNNNNNNNNNNNNNNNNCAGUCAGUUAGUUUUGAGUCUCUCAUCUAUGUAUAUAUGUAAAUAUUCUAUUUUGAGACUCGAGUGGCCUUUUUGGCCAGAUGUGUAUCAUUUAAGUUGUUUAUGUCUUUGCAUGGCAUUGAGUUAUUCUGUUGAGUAGGUUUCCGCUGAGUUAAGAAAGCCAGGCCAAGGGUUCGCUUGGGGCCAGCAAUGGUCUCUGAGUGCCGGUCCCGCCCAGGGUGUAGGCUCGGGGCGUGACAUGUUUAUUCAUUCUAGCUUGGUAGCAUUCAUAAUGCAAUCCUAGGGGGCUUUGAGAGUUUUGUGUAUUGUGUGAAGCUAGAGGAAGAAUGUAUGAGACACAAGUAUUACUUUAACACUUGUGUGAACCUCUUUGUAUUCAGAGUGAAUUGUGUGAGGUUAUUCUUCUCUAGAUUUUAUAGUGAUUUUUUCAUCUCCUCUUGUGGAUGUAGAUCGGUUGACCGAACCACGAUAAAUGUUUGUGUCUUUUGAUAUAUUUCUUGUUUGUCUUAUUACUCAUCGUCUUUCAAGGUUUGCUUUGCUAGCUUUUGCAUGACACCUAAUUAUUUCAGUCCCAACAAGUGACAUCAGAGUCAGGUUCAAUGGUUUAAUGAUUCAAUGGUCGAACCAUGUUAAAAAUAAGUGUUCAUCUUGACGGGUUUAGUUCUAGCCGUAACAUAUUUGACAGUAAUGAAGAUUUUUGUUGGAGAAAUAUUUUCAAAGAUGUUUUCUGUGUUGAUAUAUAUAUAUAUAUAUAUAUAUAUAGAUUUUGCAGAGGAGAUGCAAGGUAUUGAAGAUUAUGUGAAGAAGGUGGAUCAAAUUUAUUUUGUCAGAAAUUUAGGCCAAUGGAGAUAUUUGUUUAGUAUUUGUCAUGAAUUUCUUAUCAUAAUUGGGUUUUUUCUUUUAGAAAAAGGAAACCACAAAGUUUCCAUAUUUGGCUAGUUCUUUUUCUUGUAGGAAAAUGUUUGACUCUAAAAUUAUAUGUGUAUUCCUUCUAGCCUAAUAGCAUUUACAAUGUAGUCCUAAGGGGCAUAGAGAGUUUUGUGUAUUGCGUGUAGCUAGGGGGAGAAUGUGUGAGACACAAGUGUUACUUUAACACUUGUGUAAACCUCUUUGUUUUUCCAUUGAAUUGUGUAAGGUUAUUCCUCUCAAUAUUUUGUACUUUCUUUUAUAUAGUGAAUUGCUCAUAUCCUCUUUUGGAUGUAGGUCGGUUGUCCGAACUACGUUGAAUAUUUAUGUCUUUUGGUAUAUUUUUCGUUUGUAUUAUUACUCAUGGUCUUUCAAAAUUUGCUUUGCUAGCUUUUGCCUGAUACCUAAUAAUUUCAGUCCCAACAAAACCAAACGUGAAAGUUGUUUUCCAGCAGACAACUUUUCUAGUAGCUCUACUCUCGACUUGGAUAAUUUAACCAAAAAGGUACGCUUUCGGCCAUUCUACAUGCUGCCUAUGUAGAGACAUGUUUAUCUAAAGUGGAUUCUCUUUUUUGUAGUAGGUAUCAAACCUGUUAUGCCCAUUGACUAAGAAGCUAGGGGUGGACACAACAACUACAUGGACCUCUUUCUUACAUCGGCCAUCACUAUUAAUCGUCUUUGUUAUCACAAUGACCACCACUAUUACCGUCAUCAAACAUCUCUGUCCUCACAAUUACCAUUAUUAUCAACCACUACUAUAUAUCAAACAUUUGCUAUAUUUAUGUUUUUUAUUGACAUAAACAAUGGGUUAACAUGAUAUAAUUUAUUAGUAGUUUUAUAUAUUUUUCUUAUAAUAAAGGAAACAAUCACUUAUACAUUCUUUGAGAUCAUUUAGUUUAAAAUCAGGAGUGGAAUCAUAACUAGGGUUAUAGCUUAGCAUCAAUUCACCUUCUUAAUUAAUGGGAUAAUUUAAUUAGCUAAAUUUGAAUGAAAAGAAGAAGAAAUUGAUUAAUUUAAUUCGUUUACGUUCCAAUGGGGUGUGCAAUAUCCAUAAAUUUGUCAUGUCGUUAUUAGGUGUUCAUGAGAUGCACAUAUUCCAAGCAAAAGUACCUAUUUGAUCACUAGAUGAGUUUAAGUAUUCAAUUUACAAAUUCUGCCAAAUUUGAGGGACUAUCUAGGUAUUAUUUAGAUAAAAUUAUUUGUAUAGUCCACUCUAAACAUACUUAUAAUUAAGCAAGUAACAUAUACUAUAUAAAGAAGCUUCUAGAGAUAAUUAAAGUUAACUCUAUAUAAUUAGAGUUGCAAUAACAAAUACGUCAAAACAUUAAAGUGUUUCACCAAUAAAGUCAUUUUUUUAAUGUCCAAAACUAAUCCAAUGGAAGCUCUAUUAUGUGGAACACCAGAAGAAGUUUCAGUAUUGUUGGUACAUCAUGAAGUAGAAUUUCUUACUAAUCAGACUGUUAAAUUGUUAGAGGCUUAUAAAUACAAAGGUGACAUUCUAGAAUUUUUUUAACUUUUUUGUUUCUUUGAUAUAAUAACUAAAUGCCGUGUGACAUUUUUUUUUAUAUAUAGAGAGAGAUUGAAAUGAUAUGCUUUUUGUUAUCUCAUUUAUGAUUUUAGCAUCGUCCAUUUUUAAAUUUCAUUUAUCUUGUAAAUCUUGAACUUUUCUUUUUCCUUGUUAUCAUAGCACUUUUUAAUUUUUACAAAUUUAUCUAUCCUCGAAGAAAAAUAAUUCUACAUUAGUGAUGGAUGCACAAGAAAUUAGGAUGACGGGAGGGAAGAGAAAGAGCACGAAAAAGACAUGAUAAGAGAUGAUCUGUCUAUCAUUAUUACUUGAGAUAAUAUUUUUUUGUCUUUUAUUGGAUGUAUAAAAAAAAAUGAGGAGAUCUAAUUUUCAUUAAAAAAACAUUUCCCUUUCUAUUUUUUGUUUUUGUUUUUCGUUGGACGUAGACAAAAAAUUGGCAACUCCUUUCUUAUACUUUGUUAGAUCAUCUAAUUACAUAUCUAUGAAAUAAAAUUACCUCAAAACAUUUUAUCCUAUUAUCUUUUGCUUUAAUAUUUAUUUGUUUUUGACAAGCCAUAAAUAAAUUGGAAUAGUUUUUAGAAAUAUAUUCUUUAGGAUCUUCUCUAGUUUUUAGUAAUCCAAUUAACGAAAAAAAAAAACUAAUAUAUACUUUUUAUGUAACCAAUCUAGUUAAGAUUGCACUCAUCAUUUAUAAUAUAAGUUGAUUAAUAUGUGUUAUUUUAAAAAUUAAAGUGCAGAAAUAUAACAUGAAAAUUCACAGUUGAAUUUGAAUAACAAACAAACAUAUCCAAAUGAUACCUUUGUGUACAAUAUUUUUUUUUUCAUAAUUUUCACUGAUUUCAAAUUGCACGGGUAUAUGUAGUUACGGAAGUUAUGGCUCCUGCGGCAAUGUCAAUGCUUUUCAAAGAAAAGAAAAAAAUUGAUGCAAUGAUAAUCAAGGUCAUUUCACCGGAUUCACAUUGCUUUGAGCUCCUGGCACAAGCUGUAACCUUGAACAUCAUCGUAGUAAGUAAGUAUUUAUAAUUCUAUCUUCCACUUAUUAUUAUAGACGGUAAAGUAAGUUUUUUUAAUUAACUAUUGCAUAAUGUAUAUAAUAUUAUUCAAUUUUAAUUGCUAUCUUCUUGAUAUAAUUAUGCAGUUGUCUAUGAUGAACUCAAUGAAUUCUUAGUGAAGAAAGCUUUGGACAAUGGAGCUUACAUUUGCUCGAAGAAGCCUCUUGUCGAGCAAACUAUGACAUUCUUGUGGCAAUUUGUAUGGAGGGAGAAAACACAAAGAGGGAAAUCAAUAAAAAGAGUAGAAACAAAGGGAGAUCAUAUUUUUGUUUGAAGUUAUUGGAGUUCUGAGAAAACAAUAGGUCGUGGUUUUUUCCUCCCUUGAGCAAAGAGGUUUCCACGUUAACAUAUGUGUUCUUACUUUAAGCAUUUAGAUUACUUCUUGUUAUCAGUAUAGUCAAGUGGUCAGAACACGAGAAGACAUGUCACUAAACAACAACAUAUAUAGGAAAAAACAAACUCUGCUAAGUGAUCGAUCCGUGUGUGAUAGUUGCCUUCUUAACCUUGAACUAUUGCUUCCUGCUAGAUUAUAUGAACUUAGAUAUGUAUACAAAUUAGUAUUCAAUGAGUUCCCAAACAUUCGUGCAUAAACAAUUUCCCCUGUUGUCGUGCCACCAGGACUUAGCAUAUGUUCUGUAUUUGUAUAAUUUCGAUGAUGAUCAUGAGAUUGCUGGGAUAAUGGAGGCAUAUUAUUAUUGUGUAUUAGACCGUGACUCCUACAUCUCGAACUAGGAGGUCUUUGUGGUAUGACUAUACCAAAAUUCUAUACCAAAAUUCGGGGCCUUAAUUUCAGAUGUUUUUGUAGCUUGACAGCGACCAUAGAGUGGAAUCAAUGUUUUUUGUGAGACUUCAGCUUUGCAAACAGGGCAAUUUGGUUGUUGGUUAUCGAUGUUCUCUGAUGAAAUGGUCUUAAAAUGUAUCCAUUUGUAGAUGCAAGGCCAACAAUAGGAGGUGACCACAUAAUGUAACAACAGGAUCAUGUACAACAUCUAGGCAAAUGUUGCACUCGAAACCUCCAGGUGAAUUUUCUUCAAGUUUAUCAAGAUCAAUUGUCUCCAUUUUUCAAAGGAAAUAUCGCGUUGAUCAAAGGUAGUUUCUGCUAUUUGGUCUUGAAAAAUUUGUUCUAAGGCCAUAUUUGCCUCUUGGUAUUGAAUUAUUUUGGUAAUGGCAAGAUGAAGAAUGGUUAGAAUUCAGGUUUUUAAUACAAUUAGAAGUGAGUAUUUAUAAGGACAAAGAAUAGUAGUUUGCAAACAAUGAUUCUUAAGGUUGUCACUUGUCAACAUCACAUUAUGUUAAAGGGGCAUGGCCAAAAAGAAAAGGCCCUACACAUUAUUAAACAACACUAUAUCAUAUUACUCAACAGUCUUGAUUUAUGGGGUAUUGUUUGAUUUGAUAUAACAUUUAAUAAGAAAAUGAAGACUUUUAAAAUAUGUACUGUAUUAAAGAUAAAAAAUAAAUUUUAAGUUUUUCGAUCCUAGAAAUGAUAUUCUUUUUAUAUUAAGACUAAAACAAAUGUUUUACAUAAAUUAAGAUAGAUGAACUAUCAAACACAUCAUAAUUAAGUGAUUUAAUGAAGUCAAAAAUAAAUAUUAAUGGAUCAUGGUUAAGUGAGAGGAGUUUUGUGCAAACACGUCUUUUAUCUAUCUAUUUGAUUUAAACAAGCAUAAGUUUUAUCAUAUUAGAAAUAUGAUUAGGACCUUAUAUUAGGCCCCAUGAUAGGAAUCUUAAUCUAGAAAAUAACUUUUAGUCAAUAAAAAGUAGCACUAGUUGCGUACAAGGAGCUACCACUUGAUGACCUUCCACACUUCCACAUCCCAUAAGUUCAAUAGUUUUCACACUAUAAGAACUAGAUGUUUUUUUCCGCGUGAAUCAAUAAAAUUUUUAGUUUUAUGUUAUAAAACAUGAUUUUUUUCAUUUUGAUUUUAUUAAACUAAUUCACUAAGAAAAUUCAUAACGAAACAUAAGUUCUCAUUGAAAUACUGGAAAUAGUCACUUGGAAAUUUAUGAGUUUUAGGAAAUUAUGCAUCAAAACUUAGAAAGACGCGGCUCAUAUAGAAAUUUGUUGUUAAAUCAUAAUAUAUACUUUUACAUCUGAAUAUCUUUAUUGAUUUGGUUAAAAUUAUAAUUAAAAAAAUUACAAUACAAUAUAUAUAGAUUCACAUAAAUUUAAUACUGUAAGUUCAAUUAUUAUUCAAUUAUUAUUAUGAUAUAUUAAUCUAAAAUUAUUAUAGAAGCUUCUAAACUCUAAAUUCAGAUCCAACUAAGGAGUGAAUAUACAUAGUGGGGGUCUGGGGGAUGGGAGAAAACAUAUGGACGGUGUGACAAAUAAAUAAAAGAAAUACUCCGUCCAUUCCAUUUGACUUAGUAUUGUUUGACUUAAUACGAUGUAUAAGAGAAAAAAAAGAUUUUAGAAAAUUAUAGGCUAAAACAAUUUUUAUAUAUUUAUAUAAUUGUAAAUCAUUUCAUUAAUUAAGGGUAGAUGGAGAAUUUUAAGUUUAAUUAUUUUCAAUUACAAUAAAAUGACAUUUUUAAAGACGGAUUAUGAGAAUAGAGUGCCACGUAAAAUAAAACGAGAAAAUACUACUCCCUCCUUCCCAUUUUAUAUGUUACCUUUUUACUUUACAUUUACAUUAAGAAAUAAUGUAACUUUACCCUUCUACCCUUAUUUAAUGUUUUCUUAAGUUAACUUUAUAACUCCCUCCGUCCCAUUUUAUAUGUCAUCUCUUUCUAUAAAUAGUUGGACCACAAUACUUGUCAUUUUAUAAAAUUUAUGUAUAAAUUACCAUAUUUUACCUAUUAUAUCCUUGAUAGAGUAGUUAAUUAAUCUUGAAAAUAUAUUCAUCAUUUAUUAUAAAUUGACUUAAGAAAAUAUUAAAUAAGAAUAGAAAGAUAAAAUUACAUCAUUUCUUAAUAAAAGUAUAAAGUAAAAAUGUGACGUAUAAAAUAGAACGGAGGGAGUACUACAAAAGAACGAGUCCGCACAUGCAUUAUACAAGUACUACAUGUGUCUCGAAUUUAGCAGCCUUUUGUCAACUUUUUAUAUUUUGGCUUACUUGGAAGCAAGUCUAUCCUCUCCUAUACAAUCAAUUAGGGUGGCCAUUAAUCAUAUAUUAUUAGGCUAAAGAUAACAUAUUGCUCCCUCCGUUUUUAAUUAUUUAUCCAUUUUUUUAGUUAUUCCUAAUUACUUGUCUAUUUUUACAAAUCAAGAAAGAACAAUUUUUUUUACCUAUUAUACCGUCAAUUUAUUACUUUGAAAAAAGUAGAACUUUUUGAAAAUCUUGAGUUUUUAAUUCAUCCACUUCAUAAUUAAUAUGGAUAAAAUGGUAAACUCACUAUUUCAAUAAUUGUUUUCUUAAUAGGUGUGCCAAUUCAAAAAUGGACAAGUAAUUAGGGAUAGAGAAAGUAUAUCGAAAUAAUAUAAUAAGAUAUUAUGCUAAAGAUAAUUAACAAAACUUUGAACAAUUAUAAAUAAGAUAGCAAAAAAAUCCAUAGUAAAUUAACAUGGUUCAACGAUUAGUGAUGGAAUCUGAAUAUGAUUCAGGAUUUUCACUAUUAAUGAAAUUCAAAAGGAAUAAUACAUAAAUGUGCCCUUUAACUUGACUUCAUUUUAUGUUUAUGUCCUUCAACUUUGGGUAUACACAAAUAUGCACCUAAACUUGUAUAAAGUUGAACAACUAGACACAUGAGUCCUACAUGACACAAUACACAUAAGAUACCACGUAGGAUAAAAAAUGCCAUGUAGGACAUGUGUGUCUAUUUUUUCAACUUUAUACAAAUUUAAAUAUCUACUUGUGCACACCCAAAGUUGAAGGGCAUAAAUGUGAUUUGAAGCCAAGUUAAAGGGUAUAUUUAUGUAUUAUGCCUAUUCAAAAUAUGAAUAAAUAAACAUAUAAAUUAGCUGACUACAAUAAUAGACAGAUAAAAAAUAAUUUUAACUAUAUGUAUAAAUAAUAUAAUUUUUCAUCGAAAGAGGUUCAUCUGAUUCCUCACUACUUUCUCUCAUUCAAAACUAAGCAAUAUGAGACUUUCAUGUCACAUGGAACCCUUUUUUUUUUUUUUGGAAAUCUCAGUAGUUCAGUUAAUUGACUGACUAUCUGAAUUCUCGAUUUCCCAUGUUGUAAUCCUCUACCCCAAUUUUUUUAUUACCUUCCUCACAUAUGUAUAAGACCGAAUCCAAAUAUCUAAGAUGAGAGAAUUUUGGGAGAGCCACCGACUCCAACUACUGCCAUAUAUUAUCCAUAUUAGAUUUGACCAACUAUCCAUCCUACCCUCCUCUACGUUCUUGACAACCCAUUUUUGUCUUAGUCAAGUCUUUUAGUGGCACGUUUUGAUCCUCUUUUCAAUUACUUAGAAAAAGUGAGUUAUUAUUCAGAUACAAAAUACUAUCAUUAUCGCCUAAAAAAUUAGACAUUCAACCCGUAAUCACAAUGAUCCAAUUACAAAAGCUCCGAACCCCCUAGGUCUAGACUGGCU
rnacentral:lncRNA from 1 species